UUUGUUAAAAAACUACUAUACUUUGCUUUAAAGGUUUUUAGAAGUAAUUAAAAAUGUUUAUAAACUUAAAUCUAUCUUAAAUAAAUAAAAUCUUUAAUAGUUCAACUUUGUCUCUUCUCUUUGUCUGAUUUAGAGUAGGAAGUUUUCGUGCGACAGAUAACAUAAGGAUAUGUGUCUGCUACAUAGAAUUCUCACCACUAAAUUUUACCACAAUACGGCCACCUCUUGGACUGUAUGGUUCCUAUUGCCAAUCAUACAAUUAUUAGUGAAAGACAAGACGUAGAGGAAAGAACAGUGUCCAAUUCAGCCCAUAAGUGCUGGUAUUUCAAACGAUCCAUCAAAACUUCCUCUUUGAAAAGCUUCUUCUUUGUUUCUUGGUCUAAUCAUCAUCCAUGGGCUCUCACGAGAAACUUCACGUUGUUCUUAUCCCACUUCCAGCACAGGGACAUGUCGUUCCAAUCAUCUAUCUCGCCCGCAAGCUGGCGCUCCUCGGAGUCACUGUGACCAUCAUCAACGUUGAUAGCAUCCACGAAACCUUGCAGCAAUCCUGGAAGAGCGAGGACAAUCCUGUGAGUAAUGGCCACAACAUUCGCCUCGAGUCCAUCUCUAUGGACUUGCGAGUUCCCAAUGGCUUCGACGAGAAGAACUUCGACGCGCAGGCCGCCUUCUGCGAGGCCAUCUUCCGAAUGGAGGAUCCACUCGCGGAGCUCUUGUCCCGGAUCGAUCGAGACGGCCCCAGAGUCGCGUGUGUCGUCUCGGACUUUUACCAUCUCAGUGCUCCACACGCUGCAAAGAAGGCUGGAUUGGCUGGAGCGAGCUUUUGGCCGGGAAACGCUGCUUGGGCUGCCAUCGAAUUCCACGUUCCAAAGCUCCUGGAGAUGGGAGACGUUCCUGUCAAAGGUGAAGCUUUGAUUGAUCUAGAAGUGUGUUCUAAGAAAACUUGGGAUUUCUAUGGUGCCAGCGGGAGAUGAAAAGCUGAUUUCUUACAUCCCUGGAAUGGAGCUAAGAUCGCAAGACAUUCCACUCUUCAUGCACGACGGAGAAUUCGAGAAGAACGGGGAAGAACAAUCACUGUAUCGCUCCAAGAGGAUCGCACUGGAUUCUUGGUUUCUGAUAAACUCUGUCCACGACAUCGAGCCGCGAAUUUUCGAAGCGAUGAGGGAAGGAUUCGGGGAGAAUUUCGUGCCGGUUGGACCAUUGUUUCCUCUCAAGGGAGAGGCGAUCGAUUCGACUGGAUUGCAAGAGGUAAACCUGAGAACUCCGGAUGAAUCUUGUCUUCCAUGGCUAGACAAGCGUGAUCGUGGUUCGGUCCUCUAUGUUUCGUUUGGAAGCAUCUCCUUCAUGACUGCCAAGCAAUUCGAGGAGAUCGCGCUGGGAUUGGAGGCAAGCAAGGUUUCUUUCCUCUGGGUGAUACGAUCAAACUCUGUUCUUGGCAUGGACGAGGAGUUCUACAAAGGUUUCGUGAGCAGGACUGGCGGGAGAGGAUUGUUCGUGAGAUGGGCGCCGCAGCUAGAGAUCUUGCAGCACGAAGCAACAGGGGCUUUUCUCACUCACUGCGGAUGGAACUCCAUGCUUGAGAGCUUGGCGUGUGGAGUGCCAAUGCUGGGGUGGCCAUCUAUGUUUGAGCAAAACACGAAUGCCAAGCUGGUGCUGGAAGGCGAGGGCGUGGGAGUGGCAUUCUCGAGAUCUGGAGGGAAGGAUGGAUUUGCGCCGAGAGAAGAGGUGGAAGAGAAAGUGAGGGCGAUCAUGGAGGGAGAGCAAGGCAGGAGAUUGAAAGCCAGGGCGAUGGAGAUUCGAGAAUUGGCUGUCAAGGCUGCUUCUCCCGGAGGUUCUUCUCACACGAACCUCAAGAAAUUCGUGGAGAGCCUUGCCUCGUAAAGAAGAUCUUCGCGGGGAUACCGAUCAAAAACGCUGUCGCGGCAACGAUCAUGAUCGUCGCCUAUGGCCAAGAGGGCGACGGGGAUUCCGCUAAGCAGGUGUUUGAUCGUGCCUUGCCCAGAAUCUCCUUUGCUGGAACGCGAUGCUCACAGCAUAUGCGCAGAACGUGCAUUUGCAUUAAUUGAAGCUUCUCUUUGAUACCAUGCCCGAGAAAGAUGUGAUCUCUUGGACCGCAAUGCUACAAAAACAAUACCUAGUUUGAUAGAUGCCGAGAAUGUUUUUGCAACUAAAUGGAAUUUAGCAACCUGGACUGCUAUGGGUCAUGUAAAUGCCCAAGUCAGGAAUAUGGAAAAGUUGAGGACACGAUACUAGAGAAAAAUCUAGUGUUGUGGAACUCUCUCAUUGCAGGAUUUGCUCACAAUGGAUCUAUCGAGAAGGCGGAGAAGCUCUUUCUCGAGAUGCCUGAGUGGGAUCUCAUGUCUGUGAAUGCUCUAAUCUCUACUCAUGGCAAUGUCAAUUGAGUGCAAGUUAUUUUGGAUUCCACUCCUUUGGUGAGCACCAUGCUCUAGAACACGAUCCUGGUGGCCUACAGUGACAAUGAUUGCAUCAUCAAGGCCAAGACCAUCUUUGAUUAUGAGGUGGAGCAGUGGAAUCUCAUGUUGUGGAACUCAAUGGUCUUGGUAGUUGAGUGGCAAUCAUGAUGUAGCCUAGCAGUUGUUCAAUGUGAUGCUCAAAUGAGAUAUGGUAUUUUGCCACUCAAUCCUUACGCAAUAAGAUCUAAGUAUCCCAAGACUUGAUUAUAAAAGAGAUUUAAUAUAUAAUUUAUUAAGAUUUAAAUAUAGAAAGAAAGAGCCCAUAAAUAAGAGUCUACCCAUUAAAUACUGAAGAAAACAGCCCAUAAAUAAAAGUGCAUCCAAUCCCUUUAGUUACUUAUAAUAACUUUUUUCUGCAUCAUCAUCAAUUCUUUUUAUGCCUCCUUUUAUAUUGGGAUUGUGGGGAAGACUUAUACCAUAUAUUUAAGAAAACUUCCAAAGCUUCCAACUUUAGAAAUUCUAGAUGACUAUAAUCUACAAAAUAGAUGUAAUUAAUCACAACACCAUUUUAUGGGUAAUAGAGUUAAAAUGGGACUUGUAUUGCUAAUAGAGUUUAAAAUCAAUACCCAAGAAACAUGUAAUAAAUUUGCUUAUUUACAAAGUUGGGUAUGAUAUUAAUGAAACUAUCACACCUAGGCAAAAUGUAUCCUAUAUGCUUGCUAUCAAGAAAUCUAUCAUGCAUGUUUUUGUACAUCAUAACUUAGAAAAUAAAUAGUUUAGAAGUUUUAUAAAAUAUAAAAUACCUACUUAUUUUUCAGGCUUGCCUAACACUGACACCACCAAGAUCCAUAAUGCACUUGGAGAGAAUGAUUUAAAAUGAACUUUCAUUGCAUACAUUAUAAAUUUAUACAUUAAGUUGGGGUUAUUUAGCAGAAGGAAAAUGAUAUGGCUAACUUCAAGUAGAAGUAUUUUUGACAAAAAGAAUGUAUCAUGCAUGUUGUCAUUGGUCUAAUUCUCAACUUUCCCAUUAAUAUAUGAAAAACUAUCUAGAAAAUUGAAGAGAAUGAAGUUUAAGCAAAGUUUUUUGUAUCUUUCAACACGAACAGUUAAACUAGUGUUAUAUAUCUAUAUUUAUGUCAUUUUCAUGAAAGAUGUCAACAAUCUAUUAUAAAAGGCCACUAAAGACACCCAUAGUGCUUUGGUGUGCUAUUGGGGAAACAAAGCAAAUCUAUAAAAAAGCUAAGUGAAUGAAAAAAUAAUAAAUAAAAUACUAUUAUUAUAUAGUAUAUUAUUAAUGAGAGUUCUUUUAACUCCUCAUCAUAAGCAUCUCGUCAAACAUGAAUGAAACUACUAUAAAAAAUCAUUGCUAUAAAACACAUAUGUCCCCUUUUGGUUUGUAAAAGUAAGUUUUAAAAUUGAUAUAAUAUUUUUUGAACUUUUCGAUUAUUGUUAUUUAUUGGUGGAACUUAUUCCAGAUUUUAACCAUCUAGUGAUGGAACUAAUGCCUGAUUUUAGUUAUCUGAUAGUGGAAUAUAGGUUUAAUUUAGAGCUUCCUCAUCCUCAUUUUCAUCAUUGUUGACAUCACCAUCAUUACCAGCAUUAAUAACUUCUUCCUAGUCUAAUGUAAAGGUCUCUUUCCCAAGGCAUUCUAAUUCUCAAACACAAUCUAUCUAUCAUGCCUUUUAAACUCUUAUAAAUAUUAUUAAAUAUAUUCUUCCAUCGUUUAUACCCUUUGCAAUAAGUCAAGUGUAAAUUGGUGUCUCAAAUGGCACACCUUUAUAUCAAAGAAGAUAAUAUAUUUAGGAAAGAUCCUAAAAAUUUUAUUAUACUUUUAAACUAUAUAUCAUAUGAAAUAAAGCUGGCUAUAGUGUUGUUUUACUUCUAGACUUAUUUAGCAACCACCCCUUUGUGAUCCCUUCCAAAUAUGCAUUGACACAUGUGUUGAAGAACAUGAAAAUGACAUUUAGAUCAUCAUUAAUGUGUAGUGUCAAAAACUUCUCAUUUUCACCUAUAGUUUGUAUGGAGUGGGAUUUGAGUUUGAAGGCCUUGGUGUGAGACACAAAUCGUAAGCCCUAAAGUGGAGCCGAAAGGGCACCACAUGGUGGCGGCCGAAGCGAAAGCCAAACAAGCAUAACACGUUUGGACUAAAAGCUCUGACUUGAAAGGUUGAGAGCGAGAGUGGAACUCUUAAUGAAGUGCUCGAGGAACAAACACAAAGUGAGCAAUAAGUGAGUCUCUAGAAAAGGGACACAAGAGGACAACCACAAAACCUGAGAUGGAGUCCGAGAUGGAGUUCAAGAUGGAUUUGAGAUGGAGUCCAAGAUGGACCCGAGAUCUGAGAUGGAGUUUGAGAUGAACUCGAGAUGGACCAAAGAUGGAGUCUGAGAUGGACCCGAGAUGAAGUCCGAGAUGGAGUCCGAAAUGGACCCAAGAUGGACCAGAGAUGGAGUCUGAGAUGGACUAGAGAUAGAGUCUGAGAUGGACAUGAGAUGGAGUCCGAGAUGGAGCUUGAGAUGGACCCGAGAUGGAGUCUGAGAUGGACUAGAGAUGGAGUCUGAGAUGGACAUGAGAUGGAGUCCGAGAUGGAGUCUGAGAUGGACCCGAGAUGGAGUCUGAGAUGGACCAAGAUGGAGUUCGAGAUGGAGUCUGAGAUGGAAUUCGAGACCGAGACUGAGAUCGAGACUGAGACCAAGACCGAGACCAAGACCGAGUCUGAGUCCAACGUCGAGGCCGAGACCGAGUCUGAGUCCAAGAUCGAGUCCGAGUCCGAGUCUAAAUACUAAUAUAGACUGUUGGGUGAAAGCCCAAAGCAAUCGUCCCCCAGGGGGGGAGAGGAGCUGCAGGGGGUUCCAAAAGUAUAGUAGGGAGAGUAUGGGGGUGUGAAGCCCAGUGGAGCUAGUUUGGCCAGGAAAGGCCAAUUUGGCCCAGGAAGGCUAUACUUAGCUGUUGGGUGAUGGGAUGACCACUGGGAAGUCAAAGGCUAGAGUGAAUACAGACUGACAAAUGGGGUAACUUGGUGAAGUGUUCAAAAGCCAGCUUUAGUUCCCCUGGGAGAUUGAAUGGUCAAUGCUCCCAGUCCAAGCAUGGGUGGCACUACCUACUUGGAUACUUGGUGUGGCUCAAUGGAACCUCACUCUAAGCCCAUGGCUAAAGCACCCAAAGGCGAAAGGCGGGGAGAGUACCCAAGAGGCUCGCAUAGGGUUACGGUGUUUCGAAAUAUUUUCCCAAAGUCCCAGACUAUGGAGAGGAAGAGGAGCAGUCCUUUGGUGUAGUGAUAUAUUUGAAUCUUAUAGAUUGUCUCUUAAAUCUUUUUUUUUUUUUUGUUGCUUAUAACUUCCUUCCACGCAUUCACCAAAAACCUCUGUAGCAAUUAUUGAAGCAAUUACCACCUUUUUUUGCUACCACUUAAAGAAUGCUUAAUAGUGGUGUUUGUCCACCACUUCCAACCAUUUUCUAUCUUGUAAUUUAAAUUUGGUGCUAGUAAAUUUAAAUUUAAAUUUAAGAGUGUGCUGUUUUCCCCAAUAUCUCCCUUAACAAAGGCAAUCAAAGGACAUGGAAGAAAAAACCCAGAGACCGGAUUCCGACUCUGCAAAGAAGGAACACACCACUCAGGUUCUAAGAAAUUGGUGACCCUGGAUGUAGUGUCUAUGAACAGAGUUAAACAUGUUCCACCUAACACUCGUGUAGAUCUUCGAAGUGGGAUGUACACGUUUUCUUCCUGUCCAUCUAUGGAAAGGUAACAGCAACCGGGCUUCAUUGAAGACAAACAGCAGCUUCAACAGUUGGCCUGUCAUCUCCAUACCAAUUCCCAAAGCCAGGGACCUCAAGAAUAUAACUCUGGAAGACUUCAAUGGCUUUAGUCUCCCAUGUCGUCCAUAGUUCAACUGAGUACUAGCCUGUAUCUUCUUGAGAAACUUAAGUUUCCAUUCAAGUUUUUUAAUCCGAUUCUCCACCCCCGGCCAAAAUCCCUUUCCACCAUCUACCGUCAUCAUGUUUGAAAACACUUGCAGCCCCCACGGCUCCUCUUUCCCUAGUCCUCCACCCAGCUCCUCAAUGCAUGCGAUCCAAUAAGCCAGACAGUAGGUCAUGCAUGCGAGAUGGCCUGCGUAAUCUCCAUUUCCCAGUGCCUGCCUUGCACGGCCGAGGAAAGCAUUUCUAAAAUAUGAGGGCUGAGGAUAACAGGAGCCAGAACCCAGCGACAAGUAAAUGACCCAAACCUGUUUCCGAUGUAACUCUCGAACCACCCUCGACUUACCCCAGCCGCUGGACUGGAAGAGACCAACGAUACGUGAAAAAUCAGUCUCCUUCUUGAUCUUGUUCAGGGCAUCGUAAAACGAGUCUACUCCACUGCCCUGAUAUUCCAUGUCAAGUGCUCGACCUGUAGCAGCAGCAAACAUAAACAUUCAUGCAAACUGACGCACUUACUUGCCAAUCGUUAACUCUAUGCCAUGUUGUGGACUUGUCCUUGUACUGCUACUGCUCCUCCGGUGUCAGCUUGUACCAGCAAGCUCUAUAGAUUUCAUCAAGCCAUUCCUCGCCGUUCAGCUUCUUGUGGAUACACUCCCAAGAUUUGAAAAGAAGCGCUGGGUACUUCUCCAACACCAUUCUCACUUUUGAUUCCCGCGCCUCGUUGUCUAUUUGUUGCAGCGCCAUUUCAAGUACAUACUGUGGGCCGAUGCCUUAGUGUUUCUCUUGGUGCUCUGGCGACAACUUGUCCCAACUCUCAAGCAGCAGAUCCAAAUACAUCAGCUUCCUGUCAGAAAUGAAACCUUUCCGGGCUUUGACGAUAUCUCAUCUCCACCGAUCGCAUCCGCUCUUGUGCACAUAGCAGCAGCCCGUAUGCCUCGUCGCUCUCUUCCCGAAUCCUCUUUCGGUCCUCGCUGCCUUUUACCUCUGUCGGCCAUAGUUGGGGCUAGGGCUUGUAAUCGUGGAUCCAGCAGCGUCGACUCAUGUAUUCCAAGUGUGGAAGCAUGGUGGAGGCUGAGAGAGUUCAGGAGCAUGCCUUGCCACAGCCUGGUGUCGUGGAUAAGUCGCACAGGAUUUGCAGCAGGAAAAGUUUUCAGGGAGGACAUUUCAUUGAUGAAAUGCUCGGCUUCUUGCAGUCUCCGACACCGUGCGAGGAGAUCGAUCAUACAGAUAUAGUGAUCUGGAGAGGCUGAAAUUAUGCCCUGGAAAUUCUGGUGGCCGUUCCCGCGUGGCUACAUGUUGCCAGAAGGUUGAGAAAAGUGAUUUGGUUUGGGAGAAUUCCCUCGAGCUUCAUCGCCUGGAAGAUCUCUAGCGCUGCUUCCUCCUAUUCAAUGUAGGCAGUGAGCAUCGCCGUCCAGGAGAUCACGUCGCGCUCGCACAUGGAAUCAAACACGGCUCUCGCGUCUAGGGAAUUGCGAUCUUCUUCGACUCCACAGCAACCAAGACUCGUCCGCGCUCCAGGCUGGGGAUCGCCGCACAGGCAUCGAUCGCCAGAGUGAAGGAAACCUCCUCGACCAAGACUCCCUCCAGAUCCAUGCGCACAAAGAUCACGAGGGAUUCUGGCGCGCGAAUCCACUGACCGCCCCCCAGGAGACGGCAUCCUUGCGAUCACGAGCAGCCUCUUCAGUCCCACUGCUCUCCACCUUUACAAUUGAAAUGCUGGCCCACACAGACUGCAUUAACGAGAUUAGAAAAUCUUUUGUAUAUCAAAGUAUGUCUAUGUAAGAAAAAUUGAAGAACACAGCUUUUAGCUUUUUGUGGUAUUUUUGUAAAUUUUUGUAACUUCACUUGUAAUGUAUGCUAAAAUACAUUUGUAUGUUAACCAACAUCACAUGUAAUAUAUGAGGUAUUCCAUCAAUUCCAGGAUCAUCCUUUAACAAUGCCAAGCCCAGCAAGAGCAUUGACAAGAAUCGAGGCAAACAUUUUUUCCUGCGCUUCUUUCUUGUCAGCAUCAUUGUCAUCAUUAUAUUUGUCAUCAAGAAUAACUAUAUCGCAUUUGUAAAAGUCGUUAUAGUAAAAUAACAUAAUUUUAGAAAAGAUAAGGUUCUUAUGAAUUUUGUUUUUGGUUUACUUAAAGCAAACUUGAUAUACCUAGAAUAUAUUUGAAUAUUUUAGAAUAUUCUACCAUUUAAGGGUUGUUAUUUAUUUUCUAUAAUUUAUAAACAUGGUUAUAAUUUAUAAAUUUUUCUAAACACUUUUUAGUAUAUUCUUUUUUAUUCUACCAUCUAAUUGUUGACAUGCAAUAAGAUUAGUCUUGUUUUUAUAAAUUAUAUACAUGUUUAUAAUUAUAAAUUUUCAUUUGAUCAAUAAAUAAAAAUAACACUACUAUUAAGCAAACUAAAUGUUGCCACAACAAUUUUUUUUAAACUACUCAGUUUAGUAGUACUUAAUUACUUUUAUAUUUCAAUAUUUUAAAGUUUGUCAAAACCUUCAUUUCUUUGAUUAAGAUUUCCUUUAUAAUACUUAUAAUUAAGUACAUUGACUUGCAUUAAAUUAACCUAAACUCGUAAACUUUAACUCAACUUUAAACCACCCCAGGAGCUUGGAUAGCCUUGUAGCUCCUUUCAAGAGGUUUCUUUCUUCCUACGAUCUGCCACGCAAUCCCACCGGGUGAAAGAAAUUCACAAGAUUAUUAGCAGCCACAAUAGCUCAACGUUUUCCUUGCGAAUCUCAUGUGGGGACAUGGUCUAGAUUGGCCUUCAAUCACAUCUGCCGACCCAAUGUCUUCUGCUCUCGGCGAUUGCCCAGAAUGGAACCUUGGGACGGCGUUCCAGCAUGGUUCGAAGCAAUGCCCAAGAGAGAUGUUACGACACUACGCAGCUGAUGGGAACUUGAUCAAGCCCAGGAACUAUUUGAUCGAAUGCCGAGAAGAAUGUAGUGGCAUGGACUGUGAUGGUUACCGCAUUGGAGUGCUCUGAUAUCAGCUUAUGCAGCACACAACCGGCUUGAAGAAGUGAAGCGUUUUUUGAUGCGAUGGAGAAACCAAACAUUCACGUCUACACUGUGAUGAUCACUGCGUAUGCCAAAGUAGGGGAAAUUGCAAAUGCGGAGAGGAUGUUUGCUCUCAUGCCUGAGAAGGACGUAAUCGCUCAAAAUACAAUGCUCCAAGCGUUUGCUCACAAUCGUCUUGUUGAGAAGGCAAGCGUAAUCCUUGACAAGUAUGAAAUGCCUUGGAACGAUAUGAUCAAUUGCAUAUGCUAAAAAAGGGCAAGCAUUUCGUGCAAAGCAAGUGUUUGAUUCCAUGCCCGCAAAGAAACAAAACAUCGUGACUUAGAACUCAAUGCUCUCGCUGUUUAAUCUCCGAGCUCUAGAGCUGCUGAAAACCAUGCAGCUCGAAAGGAUCAAACCAAACGAGAUAACUUUCAUCGCAGCACUGGGUGCCUGUGCUGACGCCGGCAAGCUUGAAACUGGACAAGCGUUCCACGCCAAGAUCAUCGAUCAAGGACCAAUGCAUCCAGGUCUCGCUGGUGAAUAUGUAUGGGAAAUGCCGUAGACUGUCACAGUCUUCACAAACCCAAGCAAGCGUCCACGACACUAUUUGCUGGAUUGUGAUGAUCAUGGCUUUUGAAGACAACCACCACUUGCCGGUCGUGUGCUUCAUGAGCACCCCAAAAAACCAGAUUUCUCUCCUGUCAAGCAACUCUAUUUCGCGAUCAAAGUCCCCUUUCUGGGUUGACCCCGGAGCAGCCCAGCGAAGAAAGAAACCUCUCGAAAGGAAGCUACCUUUUGUGAAACUUCUAUUUAAGAGUUCCAAGAAUUAGGGUUUGAUAGGAUUCUUAUGGGUCAUACCAAAGAAUUAGUUGUAGAACUCCCAAGGGUAAUGAACGUGGAGAAGAUUUUAUUCUCUUCCAACACCAACAAUCUAGAGUGUGAAGUAUUUGGGAAAGAGGAUCAAGACGGAGAGUGGAAGUUUUUGGGUAAAACAGGUCGAGAAGCAAGAUUCAAGCUCACCAAGCUGAGAUUCAUUCUUGUCAAGCCUCUCUCUGGAUUUGAGGUAUCUACGAUUGUGAGUUUUUAUAGCAAGGACAAUGCCCAGAAGCCUGUGGAGGAGUUAGAGUUGAAAUACAUUAAUCCUCAAAAGGUGGACUAUCAAAAUCCUUUUAAAGUUGGCCAGCUUUCCAAGGACACUCUUGUCACGAAAGCAAUUGUUCGAUCCAAUCUCCGGUAUUACAAAUUCCGGUUGUGGGGCAACAUAGAGUAUCCCUGCCAGUGGUGGUUUCCAAUGGGAGACUACGACCAGGACGAGCCCAACCCUAGAACGCGAGAGUUGACCAUCAGAUACUUUGAUGUGAAGAAUGAGGGGAAGGUAACGCUAGCACCUCAAUGCAAGUUGAUUGUUUUUGAGAGGACUUCCACUGAGGAAUUUGAUCUACAUAAUCUUCCACAAAAGAAGCAGUCAAAUAGAAAGGGUUCUGAUAAAAAACUAUCUAAACUCUCUAAUCUGAGCAUAAAAGUUUUAAAGGCCUUAAAAGUUGUUAAAAGGAAUUAGAAUUUAUAAACUCAAAUCUUAGUAAUAAAUUCAACUUUAACUUGUUUAUCUGAUUCAGAGUAGGAAGUUUUCAUGCGACAAGGACAAAACAAAUAUGUGUCUGCUAGGCUUCAAGCCAGAAUGUAGAAUUCUCACCACUAAAUAUUACUCUAAUACCGGACUGUAUGGUUCCCUAUUGCCAAUCAUACAAAUAACGAAAGGCAAGACAUAAAGGAAACAACAAUGUCCAAUUCUAGCUCAAAACUCCCUCUUUCUAAACCGGUCUAAUCAUCAUCCAUGGGCUCUCUCUCGAAACUUCACGUUGUUCUUAUCCCACUUCCAGCACAGGGACAUGUCGUUCCACUCGUCUAUCUUGCCCGCAAGCUCGCGCUCCUUGGAGUCACUGAUCAUCAUCAACGUUGAUACGAAACCUUGCAGCAAUCCUGGAAGAGCGAGGCCAAUCCUGUGAUAAUGGCCAGGACAUUCGCCUCGAGUCCAUCGAGGAUCCACUCGCGGAGCUCUUGUCCCAGAUCGAUCGAGACAGUCGUCUCGGAAUUUUACCAUCUCAGUGCUUCACAUGCUGCAAAAAAAGGCUGGAUUGGCUGGAGCGAGCUUUUGGCCGGGAAAUGCUGCUUGGGCUGCCAUCGAAUUCCACGUUCCAAAGCUCCUGGAGAUGGGAGACGUUCCUGUCAAAGGUAAAGCUUCGAUGAAUCUAGAAGUUUGUUCUAAGAAAACAUGGAAGUUUUCAAGAAUGUGAUAGAGGGAGAUGACAAGCUGAUCUCUUACAUCCCUGGAAUGGAGCUAAGAUCACAAGACAUUCUACUCUUCAUGCACGAUGGAGAAUUCCAGAAAGUCAGGGAAGAUCAGUCAUUGCAUCUCUCCAAGAGGAUCACACGGGAUUCUUGGUUUCUCAUAAACUCUGUCCAUGACAUCGAGCUGCGAGUUUUUGAAGCGAUGAGGGAAGGAUUCAGGGAGAAGUUUGUGCCUGUUGGAUCAUUGUUUCCUCUCAAGGGAGAAGCGAUCAAUUCAACUGGAUUGAAAGAGGUAAGCCUGAGAACUCCAGAUGAAUCUUGUCUUCCAUGGCUAGAGCUCGGUUCUCUAUGUUUUGUUUGGAAGCAUCUCCUUCAUGACUGCCAAGCAAUUUGAGGAGAUCACACUGGGAUUGGAGGCAAGCAAGGUUGAUACAAUCAAACUCUGUUUUUGGUAAUACUCUAAUUAUAAUAUUAUAGUAUAUAUUUAAGAUUGAAUUUGAUCCAUCCAUUAUUGUAUAUAAGUAUUAGUUAUAAGGUGACAAUUUGUCUUUGGAAGGGAAAGUUUUUUAGCAAUGUCUUAUUUAGUGUUUAGAAUUGUCUUUUUGUUUUUAUUCCUUCAUUCUUUUUUUAAUCUAGAUUUGUAUUUGUAUUAUUUUUUCUUUUCAGAUUUUAUUACAUUCUCUUUUUCCACUAUGCUAUGCUAUUAUUGAUUAAGGAGUGUAUCAUUCAAAGUUAUAGAGGAUAUAUCAUUAUUGUCAAUCAAGUUUUUAAUACUUAUCACAUACCAAUUAUAUAUAACAAUCUUUAUUGUGAUUUUAAUAUUAGAGACUUUAUCGUUGUUUAAUUGUAAUGUAAGUGGUUUUCUCCUUUUACCUUAUGGUGGUUUACCAUAGGAUAAUUAUGGAGCAAAACUUUAACCCUCCACAUGUAAUGUGCCACGUACUAUAUGCUAUAUGCCACAUAUCUAAGGAGAGUGUAGCAAAACCUAAGUUUCAACGCUUUAGGUUAAAUGAGCAAAGCUAAACUCUUAAGCAUGGAACCCAAGGAGUGAAGGAAGUAGAACAUAGAACUACUCUUGAGCAUAUAAUUUAAGGAGUGAAAGGGUAAGAGCAUGGUGCAACUUGGAACAAUUAUAGAGCUUCUAAUGUCUUUGUAGUACACCUAAAUUUGGGGCUCAAUUCUAAGCCUAUUGUGUUAUUAAACAAGGGUCCAAUACACUCUCAAUCCUACAAACACCAUUUUCCCAUAUCUAGCAUUUAUAUGCUCAAUGGUGUCAAAUAGUGUGUAGCACAAUUUUGGCAUAUUGGUGGUUUAACACAAGGAGGUGAGUAUGCCACCAACUAAAGUAGCAUAGAACUUAGGCUUAAACUUAAGUUGAAUUGUCAUGAAUGUGACUUUGGGUAUCGAAAGUUAUCUGUCGGCUAGUCCUUUUGGAUAUUCUUUCCUUAUUGCCAUAAUGGUAGGAUGUCAGUAUUGCUAGAUCCUUUAUCAAUCUCCACCUAAGGUAGUUGAGAAACUGGUCAUCAUAUGUGCAUUUCAACCGAAAGGGCACUAAAGAAGGAAAUCCUAAGUUGUCAUUUAGUCAAGCAUACUUGACACGAUGAUGAGAAACUCGUGAUGUUGAUUUGCACUUGCUAGUGUUGGAAACCCCCAUGAUAUUGAGCUUAGUCCCUUAAUAUUUGCUAUAUGAUACCUUACCGUGUUUGCCAAACACCCUCACUAUCAUGCCUUUUGUGUUAGUCUCAUUUCGCUCUCAAAUGCUAUUUAUGGAAAGUGUCUAGAUUUGCUCAUUUGGCAUAUCUACGGAAUGUAGGGACUGUGUUGAACACAAUGGUGUUCGUCUUGUGUCCAAAUUGGCAAUCUAGAGAUAUUCCAUAUUUAGUAACUUUCGAGUUUGUCCCAAAGACUAACUCCUGAUACUAAGGGACACUUAAGGUGAAAGCCUAAAGCAUGUGUUCCUCAAGGGGGAGAGGGGAUAUGGGGGGUUCCAAAUGUAUAGUAGGGAUAGUGGGUAGGUCGGGUAUGGCCAGCCAACCUGAUCCAUAGUUUAGUUCCCAGUUGUGUGCCUGUCCUCAUUUUGCAUCUGGCUUGGGUUUAAGCCCAAGUUCCAUAUCAUGCUAGUUGGUAGAGUACCUAUAUCCUCGCAUUAGGCCACCGGUAUGCUGAAAUAAUGCUAAACUCCGUUUGGCUUCGUUUUGCAUGUUAAUUUUGGCAUUGAGAUGUUGGAUGCUUUAUGACUGUUCUAAAUCACUCUGUGCUCCUGUCUCUUUGCUCCUUAGGCUAUAUGCUCGAGAGUCGUUCUAUGCUCUAGUGCCAUUGCUCCUUGGCUCCAUGCUUGGGAGUUUGGCACUGUUCCUUCAUUCAGUGGCUCAAGGCCCUGAAAUUCGGGUUCCACACCACUGUCUUUUGGACAAGUGGUAUGUGACAUGUGGCAUAUGACAUAUGGCACAUGGAGGGUUUAGGUUUCACUUCGUGGUUAUCUUAUGGUAAAUCACCAUAGGAUAAAGGGUAAAAACCACAUGUGCUACAUUUAGUAUCAGAGAAUAAGUCUCAACGAGUAUUAUUCAAUGAAAUUGGGCAACUAGUCUCAUUACAUACGCAGAGAUGAAAACGAUGAUCUAAGUGGGUACAAAAGCUUUGUAUUUAUUUCUUGGGUAUGGAUUUUGGUUACCUUUUUGUACUGGGUUAUGUGAGCUUGCUCUUGGGCUCAUAAAAUGGAAUGACCUGUUCCAUUUGCAUAAGUUUGUGCUUGGGCUUGUGAAUGAGGCAUAUUAGCACGAGUUUGCGCUUGGGUUCGUGAGUGAGGCACAUUAGCAACUUAAGGUUACACUUUGAGUUGGUAGGAUUAAUAUUAGCCUAUCGGUGGUUCCAUGAGUUGUUCCAUGUACUGUGGGUGAAAGUAAACCUCCUUUAAGUUUGCUAUGAGUGGCAAAUAGGCUGGUCUGUAGCUGUUUAGCAUGGCACUAGUGGAUCCUUCCUAGGAAUGAUUAUAAGUGGAUUAAUCAAGACUAUAGAGAUCAGUCUAUUGAUUUAAGUAGUCAUUGCCAUGCUCUCUCAUAAAAUUUUCUUGGAUUAGGCUAAAGGUAGUGUGAACGUAAGCUUGAGGUUUAGUCAAGUUAAGACCAAAAAGAGAGUUAUUAGAGACGAAGGAUCAAACACAUAAAUCAUUUUAUCCUCUUGUAGAGAUGAUUUGCAACGAGGUGUUGACUCAUUGCUUGUGUUCACAUCAUACAAUCAAAAGUCCCUAUAUUGAUUUAUGUUGGAAAUGAUGGUCUUACAAAUGAUGAGUCAUGGGAUGGAUAGCAAUGAAAUGUUAAGCCAUUUUGUCUAGGCUUGCUAUUAAAGACUUGAAUUGCAAUGCUCAAUUCUUUUUUGGGGAACCUUGCUAUUGCUCCUUAAGUAGCUUGGUGUUGAAUUAGUUUUGAGUUUAGUCAGAAAGAGAGUUGCAUAAGUUUGUCCAUAUUGUGAACAAAAGCUAGUAGUGUUAGGUGUCAUAAAUCUCUAUUAGUGGAGUAUGGCAUUUAUAUUGCACUUUGUCAAAUUGAGUUAGCACUUGAUAUUUAUAUAAACCUUUGUAGGAGUGAUAUGAGCAUUACUUGUAUUGUUGCUCAAUUGAUGAUCAAGUCAUUGUAAUACUUAUAUAAUAUCCAUGUGAUAGUGAGUAAUGUGUUUACGAAGUUGCUUGGUUAAACGAUGAUCAACCCCAAAAUAGUUGAUGGUAAAGCUAGUCUACUUGCAUGUAGUAGCAUUGAAGUAGAUUUGAUUAAGUUCUCAAUGAUGAACAAUUAUGUUAAGCUUAAGUUGGUUUCUUGUUUCCUAGGAAUUUGCCCAUUGAGGUGUUGGUAAUGGUUAUAGCAUUCAUUUGUUAUAGCUUGUCAGUUGAUCUGUUAACACUUGGAGUAGAUUGUUGGAUAGAGAAGAUGUGAGGUUAAGGCAUUGACAUUACUAGCAUUUGUGUUAGUGAAAGCGGCAUUGUUAUUUUGAGUGAUAAGGAAUUUUCCUUAGAUCUUGAUUUUUCAUGUUAUUUUUCAUGUUAGUAUUUUGGCUUCACAUUGGAUCUUAAAGGUGGUUGAAAAAGAGUGUUAAUGCAAUGUGGAUAUCCAAAGAUGUCGUCGUUGUGAUCAAACUUUGGAUGUUCAUUUUAUAUUUUGCAGAUGUUAGUGUUAGAUAUCGAAAAUAUGGGUAAAGAUGUUUGAUGCUUAGGCAUAUUGUUAGGUCAUAAGAAUUUGUGUUGAGGUGAACCUAUAUGAAGUUGUCAGUAGGAGGAAGUUGGUUGAGUCUUAAAAGUUUGCAUUUCUAGACUGAGAGUCAUUCUUUCUCUAGGAUGGAAAAUUUUCCACAAAUUUUCUUCAGCUUUUCCAAUGGCUAAUUUAUUGAUCAUUUUGCUCAAAAACCAAUUUGUUUUCGAAAGCCAAUACAAACUAAUGAAGGGGUUGAAGUUGACUUCAGUUAGCUUAAACUUUAAUAUAUAGUUUGUAUGAUGUGACCCGAAAAGGAUGCUAACUUUUGAGGCUAAGGUAAUUGAGUUGGAUAGAGUCUAGAGUUGGUGUAAAAAAGUGGCUGUUGCGCUUAUUUAAGAAAGGUGAAUCUUGUGCCUUUCUUGUAUAGUGUUGUGUUUAGUGGCAGAUUGCAUCUUAUAUUUCGUUAAAACUUUAUAAGAGUAGUGAGCUCUCAUUGAUUUUGACUUGGUCUUGGUAGCCCUGCACCUUGGUUGAGGAUGGUGAUGUCUAACUUAGUUGUUUAAAGUUGAGAUGUUGGUACCCGUAUUGUAGCUUUGUCUAUAAGGAGGUUGUGUACCGAUAUGAGUUCAUCUCAUGGUCUUCACUUUAGUUUUGAUUAAGUGUUGAUUAUGCAUACUCAAAGCUAUUGGCUAAACACAAUAGUGAGCUCAUUGCAGUUGAGUUAGAUUUGGGUGGUCAUUUAGUUCGUGCUUGUCCAUGAGCCAAUAUCUCAUAUCUGGGGUAUUAUAUUUAUAUUGGAUAAAUAUAUAUCUUGAUGACGUGAGUUUAGUGUUUGGGUCUUGUGAAGGCAAGUUGAAGAGUGAUUGUUGGUUGCUCUGCAACUAGUGAUUGCAACUAGUGAUUGGUAGUGGUCAUACCAUGAUUUCUUCUUUAAUAUUCAAGUUAGUUCAUGCAAGACUCAUGAUCAUUGUUAAGCAUGAUUUAGCUAUAGGCUUCUUCAAGCUUUUGGUUCUUUGAGUUUUUGUGCUUAUUGUUUCAUUUGUUAGAAGUUGUUGGAAAAAGCAUUUUUGGCUCCUUAACUUCGAUGUUAUAAUUAGUAUUUGCAUCUGGCAAUCAUUGGUGAUGAUUGAUUAUCAUCUAGAAUAGUUGAUUAUCCUUGUCAAGGGUUUUGCUUGAUUGUUGUUGAUAUAAAAUGAUUUGUUAUUCUUCGGGAUGGUUGAUUCUUUCUUUGACAAUGAUUAUACAUUUUUUUAUUGAUGGGAUGAUUAAUGAUCUUUCAUGAUAGUUAGUUAUUCUCUUUAAUGGCUUAUGGCUUUUUGCAAUACAACAUAUUCUUUGUGGUUUGCUCUAAAUUGGUCCUUUGGAUUUGAGACAUCGGUAGAAUAUUGCUAACACUUGCUUAAGCAACUUGAGUUCCUUCGUAUUGUUAACUGGGAUCUAUUGAACUUGGAUAGUGCGAUAGUUAGCAAGUGUUUAUUGAUCUUGCAACAUUCAUUUUGUUCUAUUGAUUGUUACUAUAAUUGGUUCUGAUAGAUUGGAUGUUAUUUCCUUUGGAUGAUACAUUCAAUGAAAUUAGAUGUUAUUUCCUUUAGGUGAUACAUUCGUGAGCAUUUUACUUGUCAAUCUAUAAUACUUUGUGUUCUUUUAGUUGUCUUUGUCAAUUGUUUAACAUGCUAUCUGAAAUCUUUGAUAGUUAAGUUUUAUCAUUGAGUUUCCUUGAUGAUACACUUGCUAUUGAAUUUUGUUAGAUAGUGAAUCUUAUGUUUUUCCAAACAUGCUGAUCUUGGUGGUUUCUAUACUAUCAUAUUGGUUUAUCAGAUGAUAACUUACUUGGAAUACUUUUGUGUUCUAAUCUAAGAUUUAUUCAUUGAUAAUUAAGUCUCUAAAAUAUCAUUGUCUAUGAUUUUGAUAUUGUCUAUCUAUUAAUCUUUAAGUUUGGGCUAGUAUAAGCAAACUGACUUUGGCACUUCGUGUGUAUGGUGAAAUCUUUAGUCAUGGGGUAGCUAUUGUCAACUGGUCACAUCACCCGCCUCUCUGUCGAUAUUCUUUAUUUCGUUAAAAGGCCAUGACUAUGUAAACAACUCUAAUUACCUAUUUAUAGUAGUCUAUCUAAACCUGGUUUGAUUUCUUUGCUCAAGAGGGUUGGGGCCUUUAGCUUCUCUCUCUAUGUCCUUACAAGUAGGGGUGUAUUACACUUUUGUAAGCUGGGUGACACCUAGAGUAGCAAGAAUGGCUAACUCCAUUAGUCAUGUCCUUAACUCAUUUAAAUUGGUGUAUUUUUCAUAUAGUGUGAUCACCAUGAACUUUUUUAUUUUGGAGUUGUUUCCUUGGCAAUGGUUUAGACUGGAGUAUGCAUCGACAAGGACAUCAAUCUUCCUUAGGGGGGGGGGGAGAGUAUCACAAAUGUGAUUUCCGGUAUCGAAAGUUACCUAUUAGUUAAUCUUUUUGGAUAUUCUUUCUUUACUGCCAUAACGGUAGGAGGUCGGUAUUGCUAGAUCCUUUAUCAGUUUCUGCUUAAGCUAGUUGAGAAAUUGGUCAUCACAUGUGCACUUAGACCGAAAGGGCACUAAGUAAGGAAAUCUUAAGUUGUCAUUUAGUUAAGCAUACUUGAUGCGGUGAUGAGAAAUUCAUGAUGUUGACUUGCACUUGCUAGUGUUGGGAACCCCCACGAUAUUGAGCUUAGUCCCUCAAUAUUCACUAGAUGAUACCUUAUCGUGUUUACCAAACACCCUUGCUAUCAUGCCCUUUGUGUUAGUUUCAUUUCAGUUUUAAAUACUAUUUAUAGAAUUGUCUAGAUUUGCUCAUUUGGCAUAUCUACGGAAUGUAGGGACUGUCUUGAACACAAUGGUGUUCGUCCUGUGUCCAAAUUUGCAAUUUUGGGACAUUCCAUAUUUAGUAAGUUUCGAGCUUGUCCCAGAAACUAACUCUUGAUACUAAAGGAGGCUUGGGGUGAAAGCCCAAAGCGUGUGUUCCUCGGGGGGGGGGGGGGGGGGUUGGGAUAUGGGGGGUUCUAAGUGUAUAGUAGGGAUAGUAGGUAAGUUGGGCAUGGCUGACCAACUUGAGGCAUAGUCUAGCUCUCGUUUGUGUGCCUGUCCUUGUUUUGCAUCUGGCUUGGGUUUAAACCCAAAUUCUAUACCAUGCUAGUUGGUAGAGCACUUAUAUCUUUGCGUUAGGCCACUGGUAUGCUGAAAAAGUGCUAAACUCCAUUUGGUUCCGUUUUGCAUGCUAAUCCUGGCAUUGGGAUGCUAAAUGCUCUAGAACUAUUCUAAAUCACUCCGUGCUCCUGUCCCUUUGCUCCUUGGGCUAUAUGUUCGAAAGUCGUUCUGUGCUCCAAUGCCAUUGCUCCUUGGCUCCAUGCUUGGGAGUUUGUCACCAUUCCUUCAUUCGGUGGCCCAAGGCCCUAAAACUUUGGUUUCACACCACCAUCCUUUAGACAUAUGGCAUAUGACACAUGGCAUAUGGAGGGUUUGGAUUCCGCUUCAUAGUUAUCCUAUGGUAAAUCACCAUAAAAUAAAGGGUAAAAACCACGUGUGCUACAAAGAGAACAAAAAUGUAACAUAGCCUAGCAGAAGCCAAACUAAUACAUAAUAUAGUUAACCAUACAUUCCAACCACUAUAUAAUACAUUUGGAACCCCCCCCCAUACAAGCCACCCCCCACCUGUUGAGGAAUGCAUGCUUUAUGCUUUCACCUUUAACACUAAGAGUUAGUCUAUAAGAUAAGGGUGAAAAUUAUUAAAUAUGGAAUGGCAAUAAAUCGCAAAUUAGGGUGUAGGAACAAUAUUAUAGUACUCUCUACAUUCGAUAUGCCUUUUGAGUGGAUCUAGAUACUUACUAUAAAUAAUAUAUAGUACUGAAAUGGAAUUAACACAUAAGACAUGAUAGUGAGGAUAAGUAAGCUAUCACAUAAUAAUAUUAAGGGACUAGACUCAAUAUCAUGGGGGUUCCCAACACUAGUAAGUGCAAAUCAAUGAAUAAUUUUCUCUAACUAGGUCAAGUAUAUUUAAUUAAUAGCAUUUAGGAAUUCCAUCUUUAUGCUCAUCUAAUCAAGUGCACACACAAUAACUAGUUUCUCAACUAGAUUGGGUGGAGAUCAUAAAGGAAAUCAAUAAUAUCGUCCUUAGGGGAUUUUAAAUGUAUAGUAGAAUGUAUAGUAGGGAUGGUAAGUAGGUUGGGCAUGGCCGACCAACCUGAGGCAUAGUCUAGCUCUCAUUUGUGUGCUUGUCUUUGUUUUGCAUCCGGCUUGAGUCUAAACCCAAAUUCCAUACCAUGCUAGUUGGUAGAGUAUCCAUAUCCUUGCGUUAGGCCACUAGUAUGCUGAAAUAAUGCUAAACUCCAUUUGACUCUAUUUUGCAUGUUGGUCCUAGCAUUGGGAUGUUGGAUGCUCUAGGACUAUUCUAAAUCACUCCGUGCUCUUGUCCCUUUACUCCUUGGGCUAUAUGUUCGAGAGUCAUUUCAUGCUCCAAUGCUAUUGCUCCUUGGCUCCAUGCUUGGGAGUUUAGCACUGUUUCUUCAUUCGGUGGCUCAAGGCCCUAAAACUUCGGUUUCACACCACUAUCCUUUGGACACAUGGCAUGUGACAUAUGGUAUAUGACACGUGGCACAUGAAGGGUUUGGAUUUUGCUUCAUAGUUAUUCUAUGGUAAAUCACCAUAAAAUAAAGGGUAAAAACCACGUGUGCUACAAAGAGAACAAAAAUGUAACAUAGCCUAGCAGAAGCCAAACUAAUUCCUAAUAUAGUUAACUAUACAUUCUAACCACUAUCUAUAUAAUACAUUUGGAACCCCCCAUACAAGCCACCCCCCACCUGUUGAGGAAUGCAUGCUUUAUGCUUUCACCUUUAACACUAAGAGUUAGUCUAUAAGAUAAGGGUGAAAAUUGUUAAAUAUGGAAUGGCAAUAGAUCGCAAAUUAAGGUGUAGGAACAAUAUUAUAGUACUCUCUACAUUCCAUAGAUAUACCUUUUGAGUGGAUCUAGAUACUUACUAUAAAUAAUAUAUAGUACUGAAAUGGAAUUAACACAUAAGACAUGAUAGUGAGGAUAAGUAAGCUAUCACAUAAUAAUAUUAAGGGACUAGACUCAAUAUCAUGGGGGUUCCCAACACUAGUAAGUGCAAAUCAAUGAAUAAGUUUCUCUAACCAGAUCAAGUAUAUUUAAUUAAUAGCAUUUAGGAAUUCUAUCCUUAUGCUCAUUUAAUCAAGUGCACACACAAUAACUAAUUUCUCAACUAGAUUGGGUGGAGAUCAUAAAGGAAACCAAUAAUACCAACCUUCUGCUAUUGUGGCAAUAAGGAAAGAAUGUCUGUAAGGAUUGGUCGAUAAAUAUCUUUCGAUGCCUAAAGUUACAUUUGCAACAUUCUCCCCCCUUGGGGAACAUCAACAUCCUUGUCAAUACAUACCUAAGUGUAGCAAAUUGUCAAAGAAACAACUCCGAAAGUUAACAAAAAGCACACUAUGUGGGAAAUACACCAACUUAAAUAAGUGAUAGAAUUACCUUGCCUCUACGUCCAAAGUUGUUAAGACUCAGACACCCUUUGGCCAUCACUAACAAGGAAAUAACUAACAAAGUUAGCCACCCUUACUGCUUUGAAUACCAUUCGACUUACAAAGGAAUAAUAUAUCCUUGCCCGCAAGGACAUAGCAAGAGAGCUAAAUGCCCAACUCCUCUGAGCAAGAAAUCAACCCUAUCAAGAAGAUCAAGACACUUAUUAUAAAUUGGCAGAUGAAGUUAUUUAUAUAACCAUGCCCCUUUUCAAAAAAUAGUCAAUGAGAAAGAGGUGAGGACUUAUGAUCAGUCUAUAAUAAUUAUCCCCAUGGUUAUGGAUUGUACCCAUGCACUAAAGUGCCAAAGCCAGCCUACCAAAAUUGACCCAAAAACCAAUGAACAAAAAAAAUGUUUAAUUGUUUUAUUGAUUGUAAGAUUUAUUAUAAAGAUUUACAAAAUUAUUUUUUAUUACGAGUCUCAUACUCUGUGAUAAGCUCACAAGCAUAUGUAAGAUUACUAAGAGGCUCCCAAGUUGAUUCACAAGUUGGGUAACCAUGCCACUUAACGAAGUAUUCUUUGGUACGACCACCACAUUUUCGAUGAUAUGAUAAAAUGCUUUCAACUUUAUAUUCAAAUUCACAAUUCAAAACUUUUGGUGGCAGACAAAUCUCCCCUUGAUGUGCAAUAUCCAUAGUGUAUGGAGCCAAUAAAUUAGCAUGAAAUACAUUAUGAACAUUAGACAAGAUCUAACUAAUAGGAUACAUCAUCAAUCCAUUUCAAAACCCGAUAGAGUUCAAUAUAUCUUAGUAAUAGCUUCCAAGACAAAGAUCCCUUAAUAUUCAAGUUUUGGGAAGAUAGCCAUACAUGAUCUCCCAUUUGAUAAAAUACAUUGAGAUAAUGUUGAUCCUUAUCACAUUGAUACUUAUUCUAAACUUUGCCUAUCGUCUUAGUAGCUUUAGACAAACUGUGGUAUAAUUGCUCCACAUAAGUCUUAACAGCCGAGAUCAACACUUUAGACAUUGGUUUUGGUACAAAAAUCUAUUGAGGAACCCCAUGAGCAUUCCCUUGCAACAUCUUCCAUAGAGAACAACCAAUAGCAUUGUGAAUUGUAUUGUUAUAACAUAUUUUUAUUGUGUUCAAAUGCUCAACUUAGCCAUAUUAGUCUAUUGCAAUAUAGUACUACAAAUAAUCCUCAAUUUGAGCAUUCACACGUUCUAUCUACCUAUCAGUUUGAGGAUGAUAAGUGGUAUUAAAUUUCAACUUAGUACCGAAUAACUAGAAUAAUGUGCACUAAAACUUCCUAGUAAAUCUCGAAUCUUUAUUUGAGAUCAUCUCUUCAUGAAGACUAUAAACCCAUACUACUUCAUGGAAAAAAAAGUUCUACUAUUUGCUUGGCAUUUACUAUUUCCACAAUUGGAAUGAAGUGUGCAAUCUUCGACAAUUAAUUCACAACCACCAUCAAAGUAUCAUAACCCUUAGACUUCAACAAGCAAGUGAUGAAGUCAAGUGUCACACUUUGAAAUGGCCACGCUGGUGCUAGAAUGCAUUACAACUUCCUAGCCUGCUUCUCAAUUCUUCGCUUACACUGCUAACAUAUAGGGUAAAAAUAGACAUAAUUUGCUAUAUCACCUAACUAGAAAAAUCNNNNNNNNNNNNNNNNNNNNNNNNNNNNNNNNNNNNNNNNNNNNNNNNNNNNNNNNNNNNNNNNNNNNNNNNNNNNNNNNNNNNNNNNNNNNNNNNNNNNCUAGAACAUCAUAAUGUUCUCGUAGAAACAAUUGUUGCAAAUCCUUAGAGGGAAAAUAUAAUCUUUAUUACUUAUAGAAAAUAAGCUAUCCUAAACUGAGAAGUGAAGCUUCACAUUGGCAUAACUAGAAACUUUCACUACUUCAUUACCGAGGUUCUACUUUAACAACUCCAUACAGUGUAAAAUUGCUUUUGCCAAUGGAUCACUUUCAUAUGAAGCCUGAACAUCUUCCAACCAAUCCAAACUAAUUGUUGACAUUAUCUAGAACUAAGCCUGACAACUUAACAAAACAUACAUUUACUUUCUUUAGCAUAUACUUUGUGUUCAUGCAACUUCUGAAACGCUAGUUCCAAGUGUUUCAAAUGAUCCUCUAAUGUUUCACUAAAGACUAGAACAUUAUUAAUAUAUAAGACAAAAAAAGUGUCUAAAUCUAAAUAUUCUAUCCAUCAUUAUAUUGAAUGCAUUACAUAACAAUGGUAUGACAAUGAACUUAUAUGAUCCAUAUCAAGUCUUAAAGGUUGUUUUCUGCACAUCUUGAUCUACCACUGAUAUUUCAUGAUACCUAGAAUGAAAAUCAAGUCACGUAAAUAUUUAGCCUUUAAGAAUUGCUCAAAUAAGUCAUCAAUGCGAGGCAAAGAAUAACUGUUUCUAACCAUAAUCUUGUUAAGAGCCCAAUAAUCAAUACACAACUUCAUAGUUCUAUCCUUUUUUAUAACAAAAAGGACUAGUGCUCCAUAAGAUGACUUGCUUGGUUAGAUAUAACCUUUAUUAAGAAGCAUCGUGAGUUGCUUCUUGAAUUCAACCAUCUUUUUUAUAUUCAAAUAAUAUAAAACUUUUGUAGGUGGUUUAGAACUUGGAACAAUCUCAAUCCAAUGAUCAACUUCACAGCUAAAAUGUAGCUCUGGCAGCAAAUUCUUUGGAAAGAUAUCUUAAUUCUAUGCCAACAACUCUAAUAUUUCCUUUAGUACAAAAUAAACUCUAUCACCAAUUUAAACUGGGUCACCAUCACCCUUACCUUCAUCACUUGAACCAAAAAGGUCUAACAUCCUUUCUUAGCUGCUUUUUGAGUGGCUUUUACAAUCAGGAACUUAGCAUUCUACUUUUGAGGAGCACUUUUGCAAUUGGAAGGACACAUUAAAAGUCUUUUUAUAUGACUUUAUCUAGCAUCAUAAAAAUUUUUGAUAUAUUUAUUGAAGAAAUCCAUGCCAAACACCAUCUAAAAAUUUAAUAUUUUCAACACUACCAAGUUCAAUCUCUCUUUCCACUUAGAUAUUUUUAUUAGAACAUCACUCACAAAUUUUCUAGCUACUUGUCCACCUUCUACAAAACAAAAGUGUAUGGAUUGCACUUAGCUUUCAAUUCUAAUAACUUUACUAAGUUUUUGAAUAUCAUGCUAUGCAUAGCUCUUAUACCAACCAUCACUUAGAUUUAAUGUCCGUAGAUAAAGCCUACAAGAUACAUCAACAGAUCAGUGCUUACAUUGAUUGUGAGAAAAGUUUGAGGGAAAUAAAAAAAGUAACUCAUCUCCUCUUUCUCAUAAUUUAUAUUGACAACUUCGUUAACCCCUUCAGCUUCACCACCACCAUCUUCCCUCAUGACAUUAAUGAGACCUUGUUUUAUGCUUGUUAAGACAUUCUGAAGACCUUUAUAAUAGAAGCAAUAACCAUACUACUCGUUCAUUAGGAGUAGGUUUCAUAAAUUGCUACUACUUGUACCCACCAAGAGGAAGACCAAAGGGCCUAGGACCAAAAGAAGCUAUCGGUGGUUGCCAACCAUUAUCUUUAUUAACUGUUGUUUGUGAGCUCUCAUGGUGGAACUUUCCUUCCACCCUUUGUUUUAGAUCAUCUUGUUUAUUCCCAAAGUUCUUAUUCUUAUUCAAGGUAUCAACAUACAGUUGUUGAUACUAUUCCAUGAAUGAAUGACUAAAGGCAACUUGUUGUACUACAUCUUUACAUUCCAAAUAUAUCUUUGGCUUAAAUUUCAAAAUCUCAUUAUGAGAAAGUGAACUCAAACCUUCUAGAAAAUAACAUCAAACAUCUUCAUCAUUCAUAUUUACAAUCAUAAUGCACUUCUUUGAAUUGACAAUCACAAAUCACUUCACUUCACAGUAAGUUGAUACAAAGAGGUAGAACAUAUAUUUUGUAUGUUUUUUGGUUUUUUCCACAUCUAUCCAGCAAGCAAUAUAUCAUAUCAUACAAUAUGUCAGCUUCUUGCUGGAUGGUUCAUUAUUAUGAUCACUAACAUGAUUUAAUUCUAGAAAAGGUGACUCAAAAAUCCACUAAGUCUCCACCCAUUUGGACUUGGAACCUUGCCAGCUACUGAAAUUGAAAUUGUGUAUACUCUAAAGAUAUGUGUUACACUUAAACACUAACAUGCAACUCUAAAUCCUAAACAAAAAACAUAAUACAAAUAUAACAUUUUAAAGUCAUUGUGAUGGAUAUCCAGGUUAUAUAAUGAUGGAUAAUGUCUCACCAAUGAUAUUAACUUAUCUCAGUCAAGAAGGUUGGAGCAGGUAAACUGUAAUACCCUUCAUGAUUAUGCUACCCUAGGAGAAUUAAUGACUACAAAUUAUGAUUGAAAUAGAAAAUGGUUGUCAAAAUCAAGCAUAUCACUUGAUCUGGAAAAAAAAUUUAAGCUCCCUAUAGUUCACAGUUACAUGUAUUUUUUAAUAAGACCAUGUGCAAAUGAUCAAUUGAAAGAAGGAUAUGGAAUUGAAGAUUUAUCUUACAAAUUUGGAAAGUUUCUAGAGAGGAGAACAUUCAGUGUUAUAUGAAAAGCUCUUCUGAGACUAUAUUUCUUAGGGAUGAUAAGCUUAUUGACUUUAAAAAUCAUAUUGUUACUUUUAAAUGCAAUGAAUCAAGGUUGGUGGCACAGAUUUCAAUCUUCACAUGGUAUAUAUGAGGUGAGUAAAAAUAAAUUCAAAGAUAUGAAUAACUUAUGUUGGUGUUCUAACACUCCAAGCGAUAUUAGUUUAGCUGCAGAAAAAGUUUGGGCCUUUAGAAAACUUUCCAGAAUUUCCUUAGGGUGAGAAGACUUAGAUGAACUUCGGAAUCUCCCAUGCUUCAUUAUAAGAAAAUAAUUAAAACGGAAUAAUAUUUGUGCUUAGGAUCAAUCACAAUGGCAUUGCAAGCAGCACCAACACUCCUUUCAACUUAUACAGAGUGGAUCUUACAGGCAAUCACGAACAUCCCCAAUUGGAAACAUCUGGAAUUAAUAGCAUUAUAUUUAUGAUCUCCUCAGCAUCAUCCAAGAGCCCGCAAGAACACUGAUCAAGCAGCAAUAGUGAUCUCACUUGAGACUUAGAAACCAUUGGAGCUAGUGUGUCUCUAGUAGGGAUUACCAGCACAAGGUGGCAGAAAACGAUCAAAAGGCCCAUGAAACUCUUGAAUCCUUCCAGAUUCAAGACUUUAAAAAGCUGAAUGGACAGAUCACCAUGUAGAUUCUGGGUAAAUGACACGAUAAGAACAUUCCUGGUCACGAUGUUUGGCUGUAAACAGCAUCUAAACAAUGCCCAAGCGGUCGUCCAAGUGUCCAUUUUUGCCCAUACACUCUGAUAAUGUAAUUCCUUUAGAACGUCUACGGUGUCAAACAAGCACUUUGCUUCUCUUUUGGCAUAUGUAGUGAUCAUAACAUUCCAUGCUAAGAAAACUGUCCACGAGACAAGGUUUCUUUGAGGCAUUGAAUCAAAGAGAUUGUGAAUCCAGUGACAAUAGCAUACAAGGUAGCUCAUGCAAACUACGUUCCAUUCUAGAAUUCGAUCAAAAACAAGCCUUGCGACGUACAUUUACCAAAGAAUCGCAUUCCAUGUCACUACAUUCUUCCCAGGCACGGAAUAAAAAGCGUGCAAAGCUGAUGAUUGUGAAUGUAAUCUUGGAGCAGGAUUUUCCAUGAAAAGGAGUCUGGGGCGCGAAUGGAGCCAAACACGCGGCGUGCAUCGCCAGAGCUCCCGCAUUUGCCAUGCCUUGGAAUCCUGUGGUGUGUCAACGCCAAAGAUCUAAGCAAUGCUUGCAAGAUCCAGACAUUCGAAGGAACACGUUACGAACAACGUCUACAUUGCGAAUCUCCUCGUCCAAAUGCGAUAUCGGCGCUUAAAAGCUUCCUAUUUUGCGAGGGUUUAGGGUUUAUCAUUCCCUGGCAGCAAGGAUCCAGCGGAGGAUGAUCCCAAGAUGUAUGGUGCUACAGUGAUGUGGGGGCGGUCUGGUGUGGGAUUUCAAGAUCCCCGCCGGGAUUCCUAUGACAAAUGUAGAGCAUCCUUGAGGCGUGGUGAGUAUGGUGUAGACCGUGACUUUUGACUUGAAUCUUCGGACUUUUGCCUUAUCUAGUAUCAUGGGCAAUAAUCAUCUAUGAACGAGGGUCCAAUCAGCUCUGGAGCACAUAGGAUUCCACUGGGAUUUCUCUCCACCAUUUGCCCUUGUGUAAGUUCUCACUCUUUCCUCUUUGUUGGAUUUUCGUGGAUCCAUCGUUGUGAUUUUUGUGGUUCUUCCAGCUCGCAAGAAUUUGUCAUCCGAUCGAACUCUCAUGCUGGAUUUGGUGCUGUGGACUGUCGAUGAUCCGCCACCAGCGCAUCUCUUCGUCACCUCCACGGACAGUGAUCUCUCUAGUGCGUUUCACUUGCUGCGGAUGAAGAACUACAACGUUCUUCUGGCAUGCAACUCUCACGCGGCCUCCCUGGCUCUCCUUGCCGCAGCUUCGGCAGUAUGGCAGUGGGGUAAGCUCGCUAGAGAAGAAGGCCCGGUAGCACAGACAAUCGUGAGCAGCAUUCAUCGCUCUCCCGGGAGUUUUUAUAAAUUCGUCACCGCCACCAUGUUCUCCUCCACUAUCAUUUACGCUGCCAACGCUACUUUUACCUUGGUCUCCAUCGCCACCAACUCCGCCACCACCACCUAGUCCAGCAUCGCUUCCGCCACCACCAGCACAAGAUUCUCCGCCAGGGACACUAGAGAAGCAGGAAUCUUUACAGGACUUCCACAAGGAUAUUUGCGCACUGCUCCAACAAGCGGCUUUGACGCUCAGCCAAAAGCCUCCGGAAUCGAUGCUUUUGAGUGUGACCCUGGGAGAAAGGAUGAUUGCUCCACAGCAACAGAGAACAGGAGAGUUUCCAAGGGGAAAGCUACUGAGAGCUCGACGUCUCAGUGUAAAUGCUGUGAAAGUGAAGGAUGGAAACCUAGUCGGGAGCCCAGCUCGCCAGGUGCUGUCACCAGUGCCCGAGACGAAGGAAAGUGGACGUGGAGAAGGUUUUGUUCGGAUCCGGGAUGGAGGAAGCGGCAAAAGGCAAAAGACUGCCAAGCAAAUCGAGGAGAUUGCGCUGGGAUUGGAGGCAAGCAAGGUUCCUUUCCUCUGGGUGAUACGAUCAAACUCUGUUCUUCGCAUGGACGAGGAAGGUUUCGUGAGCAGGACUGGCGGGAGAGGAUUGUUUGUGAGCUGGGCGCUGCAGCUAGAGACCUUGCAGCACGAAUCAACCGGGGCUUUUGUCACUCACUGUUCAUGAGUUCGAAUGUCCGGAUGGCCUCCUGGGCCUCACCAGCUCGAGGGUAGGCCGCGACCAUGGCGUCGUAAGAAGUUACGUGUGGAGGGAUUUGCCGAAAGACAGCCUCGGCACUGGGCAGUGAUCCACACCUCGCAAACAUCUGGACGAGAAAGCUUCUGGAGUGGAGGCUCGCCUGGUUGGCUUCUCCGAGAGGACUGACCCCGACAUGGUUGGCUUCCACGCCUUCCAAGUCCAUUCCAGUGAGAGCUCGGAUGGCCUCGCGGCAGUGGUGGCUGUUUCCAAAGGCCGUGAUCAUCGCAGUCGGCUCGGUCGAAGACUGUGACGGCGUCCACCAGGCUGCGGCAUUUCCCAUACAUGCUCCUUUCAUCCUUGUCAAGGAUUACAUCAAAGAUCUUCGUUGCCUUCUCGAAAACACCAUUGUGAGCAAACGCUUGCAGCAUUGUAGUCCGAGCGACUACGUCCUUCUCAGGCAUGAGAGCAUACAUCCUCUAGGCAUUUUCAUUUUCCCUGGCUUUGGCAUACGCAGUGUUCAUCGCAGUGUGCACGUAAAAUGUUUGGUUUCUCCAUCGCAUAAAAAAACGCUUCGCUCCUUCCAGCUGGUCGUGCGCUUCAUAGGCUGAUAUCAGAGCACCCCAAAAAACCGGAUUUCUCUCUCCUGUCCCCUUUCUGGGUACCAUCACAGACUACAUUCGUCUCGGGCAUUCGAUCAAAUAGUUCUUGGGUUUGAUCCAAGUUCCUAUCAACUGCAUAGCGUCGUAUCAUCACGACCCAUGGCCCCACAUGAGAUUUGCAAGGAAAACAUUGGAGCUAUGGUGGCCGCUCAAAGUCCUGUGAAUUUCUUUCACCCUUUCCCGGACAGCAAAGAAAGAAACCUCGCUACCUUUUGUGAAACUUCUAUAUAAGAGUUCCAAGAAUUAGGUUUUGAUAGGAUUCUCAUGGGACAUAGCAAAGAAUUAAUUGUAGAACUCCCAAGGGUAAUGAAAGUGGAGAGGAUUUUAUUCUCUUCCAACACCAACAAUCUCGAGUGUGAAGUAUUUGGGAAAGAGGAGCAAGAUGGAGAGUGGAAGUUUUUGGGUAAAACAGGUCGAGAAGCAAGAUUCAAGCUCACCAAGCUGAGAUUCAUCCUUGUCAAGCCUCUCUCUGGAUUUGAGGUAUCUACAAUUGUGAGUUUCUAUGGCAAGGACGAUGCCCAAAAGCCCGUGGAGGAGUUGGAGUUGAAAUACGUCAAUCCUCAACAUGUGGACUAUCAAAAACCUUUUAAAGUCGGCCAGCUUUCCAAGGACACUCUUGUCACGAAAGCAAUUGUUCGAUCCAAUCUUCGGUACUACAAGUUCCGGUUGUGGGGCAACAUAGAGUAUCCCUGCCAGUGGUGGUUUCCAAUGGGACACUAUGACCAGGACAAGCCCAACCCUAAAUCGCGAGAGUUGACCAUCAGAUACUUUGAUGUGAAGAACGAAGGGAAGUUAACGCUAGCGCCUCAAUGCAAGUUGAAAGUUUUUGAGAGGACUUCCACUCGUCACUCAGAGUGCGAGGAAUUUGAUCUACACAAUCUUCCACAAAAGAAGCAGCCAAGCAUUCGACAAAAGAAGCUGCCAAGCAGAUGGGAUUUUGUUAAAAAGCUACUAUACUUUGCUUUAAAGGUUUUUAGAAGUAAUUAAAAAUGUUUAUAAACUUAAAUCUAUCUUAAAUAAAUAAAAUCUUUAAUAGUUCAACUUUGUCUCUUCUCUUUGUCUGAUUUAGAGUAGGAAGUUUUCGUGCGACAGAUAACAUAAGGAUAUGUGUCUGCUACAUAGAAUUCUCACCACUAAAUUUUACCACAAUACGGCCACCUCUUGGACUGUAUGGUUCCUAUUGCCAAUCAUACAAUUAUUAGUGAAAGACAAGACGUAGAGGAAAGAACAGUGUCCAAUUCAGCCCAUAAGUGCUGGUAUUUCAAACGAUCCAUCAAAACUUCCUCUUUGAAAAGCUUCUUCUUUGUUUCUUGGUCUAAUCAUCAUCCAUGGGCUCUCACGAGAAACUUCACGUUGUUCUUAUCCCACUUCCAGCACAGGGACAUGUCGUUCCAAUCAUCUAUCUCGCCCGCAAGCUGGCGCUCCUCGGAGUCACUGUGACCAUCAUCAACGUUGAUAGCAUCCACGAAACCUUGCAGCAAUCCUGGAAGAGCGAGGACAAUCCUGUGAGUAAUGGCCACAACAUUCGCCUCGAGUCCAUCUCUAUGGACUUGCGAGUUCCCAAUGGCUUCGACGAGAAAAACUUCGACGCGCAGGCCGCCUUCUGCGAGGCCAUCUUCCGAAUGGAGGAUCCACUCGCGGAGCUCUUGUCCCGGAUCGAUCGAGACGGCCCCAGAGUCGCGUGUGUCGUCUCGGACUUUUACCAUCUCAGUGCUCCACACGCUGCAAAGAAGGCUGGAUUGGCUGGAGCGAGCUUUUGGCCGGGAAACGCUGCUUGGGCUGCCAUCGAAUUCCACGUUCCAAAGCUCCUGGAGAUGGGAGACGUUCCUGUCAAAGGUGAAGCUUUGAUUGAUCUAGAAGUGUGUUCUAAGAAAACUUGGGAUUUCUAUGGUGCCAGCGGGAGAUGAAAAGCUGAUUUCUUACAUCCCUGGAAUGGAGCUAAGAUCGCAAGACAUUCCACUCUUCAUGCACGACGGAGAAUUCGAGAAGAACGGGGAAGAACAAUCACUGUAUCGCUCCAAGAGGAUCGCACUGGAUUCUUGGUUUCUGAUAAACUCUGUCCACGACAUCGAGCCGCGAAUUUUCGAAGCGAUGAGGGAAGGAUUCGGGGAGAAUUUCGUGCCGGUUGGACCAUUGUUUCCUCUCAAGGGAGAGGCGAUCGAUUCGACUGGAUUGCAAGAGGUAAACCUGAGAACUCCGGAUGAAUCUUGUCUUCCAUGGCUAGACAAGCGUGAUCGUGGUUCGGUCCUCUAUGUUUCGUUUGGAAGCAUCUCCUUCAUGACUGCCAAGCAAUUCGAGGAGAUCGCGCUGGGAUUGGGGGCAAGCAAGGUUUCUUUCCUCUGGGUGAUACGAUCAAACUCUGUUCUUGGCAUGGACGAGGAGUUCUACAAAGGUUUCGUGAGCAGGACUGGCGGGAGAGGAUUGUUCGUGAGAUGGGCGCCGCAGCUAGAGAUCUUGCAGCACGAAUCAACAGGGGCUUUUCUCACUCACUGCGGAUGGAACUCCAUGCUCGAGAGCUUGGCGUGUGGAGUGCCAAUGCUGGGGUGGCCAUCUAUGUUUGAGCAAAACACGAAUGCCAAGCUGGUGCUGGAAGGCGAGGGCGUGGGAGUGGCAUUCUCGAGAUCUGGAGGGAAGGAUGGAUUUGCGCCGAGAGAAGAGGUGGAAGAGAAAGUGAGGGCGAUCAUGGAGGGAGAGCAAGGCAGGAGAUUGAAAGCCAGGGCGAUGGAGAUUCGAGAAUUGGCUGUCAAGGCUGCUUCUCCCGGAGGUUCUUCUCACACGAACCUCAAGAAAUUCGUGGAGAGCCUUGCCUCGUAAAGAAGAUCUUCGCGGGGAUACCGAUCAAAAACGCUGUCGCGGCAACGAUCAUGAUCGUCGCCUAUGGCCAAGAGGGCGACGGGGAUUCCGCUAAGCAGGUGUUUGAUCGUGCCUUGCCCAGAAUCUCCUUUGCUGGAACGCGAUGCUCACAGCAUAUGCGCAGAACGUGCAUUUGCAUUAAUCGAAGCUUCUCUUUGAUACCAUGCCCGAGAAAGAUGUGAUCUCUUGGACCGCAAUGCUACAAAAACAAUACCUAGUUUGAUAGAUGCCGAGAAUGUUUUUGCAACUAAAUGGAAUUUAGCAACCUGGACUGCUAUGGGUCAUGCAAAUGCCCAAGCCAGGAAUAUGGAAAAGGUGAGGACACGAUGCUAGAGAAAAAUCUAGUGUUGUGGAACUCUCUCAUUGCAGGAUUUGCUCACAAUGGAUCUAUCGAGAAGGCAGAAAAGCUCUUUCUCGAGAUGCAUGAGUGGGAUCUCAUGUCUGUGAAUGCUCUAAUCUCUACUCAUGGCAAUGUCAAUUGAGUGCAAGUUAUUUUGGAUUCCACUCCUUUGGUGAGCACCAUGCUCUAGAACACGAUCCUGGUGGCCUACGGUGACAAUGAUUGCAUCAUUGAGGCCAAGACCAUCUUUGAUUAUGAGGUGGAGCAGUGGAAUCUCAUGUUGUGGAACUCAAUGAUCUUGGCAGUUGAGUGGCAAUCAUGAUGUAGCCUAGCAGUUGUUCAAUGUGAUGCUCAAAUGAGAUAUGGUAUUUUGCCACUCAAUCCUUACGCAAUAAGAUCUAAGUAUCCCAAGACUUGAUUAUAAAAGAGAUUUAAUAUAUAAUUUAUUAAGAUUUAAAUAUAGAAAGAAAGAGCUCAUAAAUAAGAGUGUACCCAUUAAAUACUGAAGAAAACAGCCCAUAAAUAAAAGUGCAUCCAAUCCCUUUAGUUAUUUAUAAUAACUUUUUUCUACAUCAUCAUCAAUUCUUUUUAUGCCUCCUUUUAUAUUGGGAUUGUGGGGACCCUAUAUUUAGGAAAACUUCCAAAGCUUCCAACUUUAGAAAUUCUAGAUGACUAUAAUCUACGAAAUAGAUGUAAUCAAUCACAACACCAUUUUAUGGGUAAUAGAGUUAAAAUAGGACUUGUAUCACUAAUGGAGUUUAAAAUCAAUACCCAAGAAACAUGUAAUAAAUUUGCUCAUUCCCAAAGUUGAGUAUGAUAUUAGUGAAACCAUCAUACCUAGGCAAAAUGUAUCUUAUAUACUUGCUAUUAUGAAACUUAUCAUGCAUGUUUUUGUAGAAAGUAUGGUAAGUCCACAUCAUAACCUAGAAAAUAAAUAGUUUAGAAGUUUUAUAAAAUAUAAAGUACCUACUUAUUUUUUAGGCUUGCCUAACACUGAUACUAACAAGAUCCAUAAUGCACCUGGAGAGAAUGAUUUAGAAUGAACUUUCAUUGCACACAUUAUAAACUUAUACAUUAAGUUGGGGUUAUUUAGCAGAAGGAAAAUGAUAUAACUAGCUUCAAGUGGAAGUGUUUUUGACAAAAGGAAUGUAUCAUGUAUGUUGUUAUUGGUCUAAUUCUCAACUUUCCCAUUAAUAUAUGAAAAACUAUCUAGAAAGUUGAAGAAAAUGAAGUCUGAGCAAAGUUUUUUGUAUCUUUCAACACGAAUAGUUGAACUAGUGUUAUAUAUUUAUAUUCAUGUCAUUUUCAUGAAAGAUGUUAACAAUCUCAUAUAGGAGCCACUAAAGACACCCAUAGUGCUUUAGUGUGCUAUCGGGGAAACAAAGAAAAUCUAUAAAAAAGCUAAGUGAAUCAAAAAACAAUAAAUAAAAUGCUAUUAUUAUAUAGUAUAUUAUUAAUGAGAGUUCCUAUAACUCCUCAUCAUGAGCAUUUUGUCAAACAUGAAUGAAACCACUAUAAAAAAUCAUUGCUAUAAAACACAUAAAUCCCCUUUUUGUUUGUAAAAGUAAGUUUUAAAAUUAAUAUAAUAUUUUUUGAACUUUUCGAUUAUUGUCAUUUAUUGGUGGAACUUAUUCCAGAUUUUAACCAUUUAGUGGUGGAACUUGCCUGAUUCUAAUUGUUUGAUGGUGGAAUAUAGGCCUCAUUUAGAACUUCCUCAUCCUCCUUUUCAUCAUUAUUGACACCAUCAUUACUAGCAUUAAUAACUUCGUCCUAGUCUAAUGUAAAGAUCUCUUUCCCAAGGCAUUUUAAUUCCCAAACACAAUCUAACUUUCAUGCCUUUUAAACUCUUAUAAAUAUUAUUAGAUGUAUUCUUCCAUCCUUUAUACCCUUUGUAAUAAGUCAAGUGUAAAUUGGUGUCUCAAAUGGCACACCUUUAUAUCGAAGAAGAUAAUAUAUUUAGAAAAGAUCCUAGAAAUUUUAUUAUACUUUAAAACUAUAUGUCAUAUGAAAUAAAGCUGGCUAUAGCGGCAAUUAUAAGUUGUUUUACUUUUGGACUUAUUUAGCAACCACCCCUUUGUGAUCCCUUCCAAAUAUGCACUGACACAUGUGUCGGAGAAUAUGAAAAUGAUAUCUAGAUCAUCAUUAAUGUGUAGUGCCAAAAACUUCUCAUUUUCACUUAUAAUUUGUGUGAUGUAGAAAGUUCUUCUCAACUACUUCUAGUACUCAUUCUUAUAAUAUAUAUUAUUUAUAAUGAUUUAUCAUAGGAUAACCACAGAGUGGAAUCUUAACCCUUAAACAUAUAUAUGUAUGAGUUUGAAGGCCUUGGGCCACUAAACAAAGGGAUGAAGUCAAAUUCCUAAACAUAUAGCCAAAGAGCAAAAGAAUUACAACAUAGAAUAAUUCUAAAAUAUACAAUCAAAGAACAAAGGAACAAAAGCAUAGAACAACUUAUAAGUGUAUAACCAAGGAACUAAAGAAUAUGAAUAUAGAAAGGUAUAUUUAAAUAAUCUGUAAACUCUUGAAUUUGAACUUCUCGAAAUGUCAUAUAACCCAUAGAGCAACUUAUAAGCCUACAGCCAAGGAAUGAAAGAACAGGAAUAUAGAGUGAUAUAUUUGAAUAAUCUAUAAGCUCUUGAAUUGAGGUCACUUAAUCUAGUACUAUUCAAACCCAAGGACGCUUAACCCCAAAUAUCCCAAGUUCACGCCCUCGUGAACGGAAGAUGAAAGCCAUAACUUUCCUGAGAGAUCCGCUCUUUUGACACCCUCGGGUCGAACCCAGCGGGAGCAAAUUGGACUAGCAAGAUGUCAAUCAAUAUGUGGUGUGAUUUUCUUAAUCAAUCAACAAAGUUGGAGCAAAAACCACUCUAAUACCAAAUGUAAGCUUCUGAAUUUGGACUUCCCAGAAAGUCACUUAACCCAAUACUAUUCAAACUCAAAAGCACUUAACCCCGAAUAUCCCAAUACCUUUAACCAAUUAGAAAAUGCAGUGCACAUUUGUUCAUGGGCCCUUUCCCUUUAUAUUUGAACCCCUAUGGAUCGUCUUUCGAAUUGUUCUACUUGGUUUCUUAUAUAAUUUUAGAGCAUUUAAGUUGAAACUAAUAUGUAAAUCAAAGCUAAAUUUAUGAGAUUUGAAAAAAAGAUUUAAUACUUUAUAAGCUCACAAAUUUGGAUUUCUCAUCAAGAGGUCACCCAACUUAGUACUAUUCAAACCCAAGCAUGUUUAACCUUAAAUAUCCCAAAACCCUUAACUGAUUGAAAAAAAGUCACUUUUAUUGAUAAGCCCUUUUCCUUUAUAUUUGAACCCCAUAGAUCAUCUCUUAAAUUUUUUUUUUUUCAUUGCUUAUAACUUCCUUCCACGCAUUCACCAAAAACCUUUGUAGCAAUUAUUGAAAGUAAUUACUAAUUGUUUUUGCCACCACUCAAAUAAUGCUUAGUAAUGGUGUUUGUCCACCACUUUCAACCAUUUCUUAUCUUGUAAUUUAAAUUUGGUGCUUUGUUUGGUGGCUAUUUCUAAAAAUUGUUAUAAUUGUAGUUAUUGCAAUUCAAAAAAUAGGAAUCUUCUUGAUUUUACUAUGUUUAGUUUGUUAUUAAUACACUUGCAUCAGUUCACCUUAUAUAAUGGUUUUUAACAUGUGUUACGUAAAAAUAAAUGGUGUUAGACUUUAAUUUUCUUUUAGUCUAAAGCUUGAAUAGUAAGUUUUAUAUGAGUAUCAAUCAAUAUGUGAGUUGAAAAUUUUUCUUUGCUAGAAAUCUUUCAUUUUGAUACAUUUAGUUUUAUUCCUACUCGAAGAUCCUUAUAUUGAUUCAUAAAGGCACUUGAAAACCAUACCUUCUUACCCCUACCUAUCUUUAUUAUUAGAAUCUAAAGAAAUCAUGCUCUAAAGAAGUUGUAAAGGAAUGUUACUCAGUUUCUAUGGCUCAAGAAGAAGAAUAAAAUAGGACAACCAAUAGUUAAUUUAUACUUGUUUUCAAUAGGUAAAGAUGUGAUGCUAACCUAAAGAGGUGGUGGAAAAUUUCUUUCUCCAAGAAAGAUAUGAAUUCAUUGUGAAGAAGCCAUUCCCUUUUUCACAAUGUAUAUUUGUAAUUAAAUGUUUAGUGUCACAAAUUCUUGCAUAAAUUCAAGUUACUCAUUUUGCUAUAGCUAAUGGAGCUCAAGUGGUAUUGGCGGAUAAUUAUGGCAAAAUGCUUCUAUUGAAAACUCUUUCAUGGGAAGAAUUUGCUAAAUUUUUUUUUGAGUUAUAAAAGUUUAUAAAUUAUAAACAUAAGAUUAAUCUAAAUACAUGUGAAAUAUUCAAUUUUGCUAGCUUAACAAAGCCAAUUUUAGUGCUUAAUAAAUAAAUAUGCAAAAUUUAUUAAGCAAUGGAAUUAGCUUUUAUAAGCUAGCAGAGAUGGCUAGAGAAGCUUUAUCAUGAUUUGAGUAUAUAUUGAAUGACUUCUUCCUCACAAAAUUUUGUAUCUACUUUGCUAACUAAAAAAUCAAUUAGGAUUAGAUGACCAAAUUUCUUGGCAUAACUCAAUUAUUGGUAUUUGCAGCCUAUAUGUAGCGCACCUUAUUUCUCUCCCCUUAAGCCAACUGGAAAAGGGGCAAUUGCUUGAUGAGAGAGCCCUUAGUGGCUAUUUUAUCCCUAUUUAUCCCCCAAGGUUCCAAGGAUCCACGGUGACAGUAUAUCCAAAUCUCAUCCCAUGAUCACAUGCGCUACACUCACCCCCCCUUCAGAGAUGUCAAUGUCCUCAUUGACUAUUGACUAACAACCCCUACUGAGCGAAGGGGAACCAGCACCUCCAUUUCCGCACUCAAUCUACCAAUCCUUCCAUUGUGUAGACUAGCUAUUCCAUGUGAGGCAACUAGUCAUCCACCCGUACCGCAGUCCCACGGUGGAUACCUUCGUCCGUGGAUAUUCCACACAAAAGGAAGGACGUAUGCAUGGAUGCCCAAUACAUACAAUUUCAAAUUUAGGGGUAGGAAUAUACCUUACUCAAGGGUAUAUUAUAUUUUUAAGUAGCCACUAAUCAAUGGGAAUCGAACCCGUGCCAUUUGCUCCGAUACCAACUGUAGCGCACCUUAUCUCUCUCCCCUUAAGCUAACUGGAAAAGGGGCAAUUGCUUAAUGAGAGAGCCCUUAGUGGCUAUUUUAUCCCCAUUUAUCUCCCAAGGUUCCAAGGAUCCACGGUGACAGUAUAUCCAAAUCUCAUCCCAUGAUCACAUGUGCUACACUAUAACAUCAACUAAGAAGCCUUGUCCUUUAAUAAAGUUCAAGCUCAAAGUUUUGUAGAAUCAGAAUAAGUUGCUUCAUCAAAGAAAUAGUGUGGCUUAUUAGCUUAAUAAAGUAACCAUAGUAUAAUCACCUUUUAGUAAUGCCUAAGAACUAUGCAAAUAUGUAUAAAACUUCUCAAAACCCCAAAUUAUUGCUAAACACUAGUACUUUAUUCUAGAGUAUUUCACUUCCACUGGUUUUAAUGUACAAUUAAUGUAUGCAAUGCAAUGGUACUGAUCAGGCAUACUCAGGCUCUUUUGCAUUAACACACCACCAAGAUUGAUAUCAAAAACAUUCAUACACGAAAUGAAAAGUUGAGUGUAGUCAUGAUAUGCCAAAAUUGGGGGAGUUAUCAACAAUUGUUAAUACCCACUCUUAAUCAAUAAACUGUAAGUGAUUAAAUUUUCCAUUCUACUUUAGUCAUUUAACCACAUAUCUGACGACUUGCAGGAGUUUUAUGCACAACUUCCAUAAAUCUUAUUCUAGACUUAGGGACUUACUAGCCUCAUGAAUGGCAUCUAUGCCACUCAGCCUUUGUAUUUAGUCUAAGUGCUCCAUAUGUUCGAUCCCAUAACUGACACUCAAAGGUACCACUGGCAUAUCAACUUAUAAUGCUAAGGCCUGGUAGUCCAAGACCACCCGCAUCACAAUCUUGCCUCUUAAAGACUAGGCCAUCUGUCUAUGAGUAGCCAUCCCUUAUCCACACUUUAACACCUUUAGGAUGUUUGGAGACAUAAGUAACACCCUUCUCUAAUGUUCAUUCUUCCAUCCCUACCAAGUCCCUUUCUAUCCAUGGCUAUGCUCGCCAACACCGUCACAGGAUCAAGGCCUAAAAGCCUGACCACAAAGUCCCACUGUAGUGCAUGUGGUUUUUACCCUUUAUUCUAUGGUGAUUUACCAUAGGAUAACACUACGAAGUGGAACCCAAACACUCUUUGUGCCACAUGAUAGAUGCCACGUGUCACAUGCCACGUGUCCAAAGGAACGUGGUGUGGAACCCAAAGUUCAAGGCCUUUGGCCACUGAACGAAGGAACGGUGCCAAACUCCCAAACGUGGAGCCAAGGAGUGCUGGAAUCGGACCACGGAGCAACUCCUGAGCAUACAACCCAAAGAGCGAUGGGAUAGGAGCCCAGAGUGACUUGAAACAGUCCUGGAGCAACUAGCAUCCCAAUGCCAGGACCAGCACGCAAAACGGAGCCAAACGGAGUUUGGUGCUAUUUCGGCAUACCGGUGGCCUAACAUGAGAAUAUGGGUACUCCACUAGCUAGCAUGGAAUGGAACUUGGGCUUAGACCCAAGCCAGACACAGAACAAAGACAAGCACGCAAUUUGGUAUCGGAGCAAUUCGGANNNNNNNNNNNNNNNNNNNNNNNNNNNNNNNNNNNNNNNNNNNNNNNNNNNNNNNNNNNNNNNNNNNNNNNNNNNNNNNNNNNNNNNNNNNNNNNNNNNNNNNNNNNAAGGCAUGAUAGCGAGGGUGUUUAACAAACACGGUAAACUAUCAUCCAGCGAUAUUAAGGGACUAAUCUCAAUAUGUAAGGGUUCUUGUCAAGCCAGUGCAAGACAGAGCAAAAAAGAACUAAGAGCUAGGCCGAGUAUGCUCAGCUAGAAACAUAUAGGAGUUCCUACCUUAUGUCCAUCUGGCUAAGUACAGAUGCUAAGCCCAGUAAACGAACAUUUGAACAAGAGGGGCUGAUAAAGGGAACCAGCAAUACCGACCUCCUGCCAUCGUGGCAGUAAGGAAAGAAUGUCCGUAAGGACUGGCCGACAAAUAACUUUCAAUACCCGAAGUCACAUUCAUGACACUUUCCCCCCCUAGGGAAGAUUGAUGUCCUUGUCGAUACAUACUCUAGUCUAGAAUACCGUCAAGGAAACAACUCUAGAAAAAGUUCACGGUGCUCACAUUAUGUGAGAAAUGCACCAACUUAAAUGAGUUAGGGGGCAACCUCUUUGUCUAACGCGGAUGCGCUACCAGCUCAGACACCUUCUAGCCGUCGCCAACAAGGAAAUGACCAACAGAGUCAGCCACCCUUACUGCUUUGGGUGUCGCCUAGCUACAAAAGUGUGAUACGCCCCUGCCUGCAGGGACAUAGAGAGAGAAACCAGAGGCCCCAACCCUCAUGAGCAAAGAAACCAAACCCGUCGGUAAGGUUUAGAUAGACUACUGUAAACAGGUAGUUAGAGUUGUUUACACGGUCACGCCCAUUUAACGGAAUAGGAACAUCGACAGAGAGGCAGAUUAUGUGACCAGUCGACAGUAGCUACCCCAUGACUAGAGAUUUCACCAUGCACAUGAAGUGCCGAAGCCAGUCUGCCUAUACUGACCCAAACUCAAAGAUCAAUAGAUGGAUAAUAUCAAAGUCAGAGACAAUGAUAUCUUAGAGACUUAAUUAUCAAUGAAUAAAGCUUAGAUUAAAACACAAAAGUAUUCCAAGUAAGUUAUCAUCCGAUAAACCAAUAUUAUAGGAUAGGAACCACCAAGAUCAUUAUCAUUGAAAAACAUAGGAUUCACCAUCCAACAAAAUUCAAUAGUAAAUGUAUCAUCAAGGAAACUCAAUGAUGAAACUGAACUAUUGAAGAUGGUAGACAGUGUGCCAAACAAUUUACUAAUGAUAACUCAAAGAACACAAAAUAUCAUUGACUGACAAGCACAAUGCUCGCGAACGUAUCACCCAAAGAAAAUAACAUCCCAAUCUAUCAGAACUAACUCGAGCAACAAUCAACAGAACAAAAUGAAUAUAGUAAGACCAACAAACACUUAUUCAUGCCAACUAUUGCAAAAGCUAAUCUGAAUAGAUGUCGGUCCAUAAUACUAAGGAACCAGAGUUGCUUAAGCAAACAUCGGCAACAUCCUAUUGAUGUCUAAAACCCAAGAGAUCAAUCUAGAGCAAACCAUAAAAAAUAUGUGGUAUUGCAAAAAGCCAUUAGCUAUCAAAGAGAACAAUUAACCAUCAUGAAAGAUCAUCAAUCAUCCCAUCAAAAAGAUAUAUGCAGAAUCAUCAUCUAAGAAGAAAUCCACCAUCCCGAAGAAUAGCAAAUCAUUCUAGAUCAACAAUAAUCAAGUAAAACCUUUGACAAGGAUAAUCAACUAUCCUAGAUGAUAGGUAAUCAUCAUCAAUGAUUGCUAAAUGCAAAAGCCAACUUCAACAUCAAAGCUAGGAGCCAAAAUGCUUUCCCCAACAACUUCUAACAAAUGGAACAAUGAGCACAAAACUCAAGGAACCAAAAGCUUGAAGAAGCUUAUAGAUAAGUUUUGCGUAAUAAUGAUCACGAGUCUCAUAAAAGCUAACUUCAAUGCUAAAGAAGAAAUCAUGGUGGAACCCAAAGUAUCUUCCUCAACACAUUUAUAAGCCAAACUUCAUAAUGCCAAAGCUAAUGAAGAGCAUUUCUGCAUCAAUCCAAAAGUUAAGCACAAUGGAGCUAUGCUCAACAAGUGAUCACUAAAUGAUCCUCCAUGAAUCCAUCUAUAACAAGACGUAAGUCACUUCAUAAUAAGCCCAAGAGAAAUCAUCAAUGAUUGAUAUAUCCCAACUAAAAUCCAAUAAGGAUUCAACAUUUUCAAUAUCGAUCACUAACUCUUUUUCUUAGUAGAGUUCGUAUAGUCCAUGAUUGAAUCACGUUUCAAGGAAAAGCUAAAGCUCAACCUCUACUAAACAAUCUCGUCUAAAACACAAUUAACUCGACUUGCCACUCAGUUCGUUUGAACAUCAAUAUAGUUACUAACUAGCAAAUGCACAAAUGCUAAUAACAUAAAGCUACAACCAAAUCAUCAACGCUAUUUGCAUCGAGACUAAUGAAACUCAAUAUAAAUCCUAUAGAAAGACAUCUUAUUUCACCUGAAUCCCAAUACCAACAAUGUCAAUGAUAAGGCAUCACUUCAAUGCCAUCAACACCAUAACAAAGCUAAAAGAAAGCAUGAGUGAAUCACCACCUAAAACUUCUUACCAACUAAGCUAACUAAAGUUGAAGAUACUUUAUCCAGUAUCCGAGACCAACCCUUCAGCAAAACUCAAUUACAGAUAACACUUCAUCAAGGAGUGAUUCACCACGUCUAAGACUCAAUGAAAUCCAACACUAUGGACUAAACGUAACCAAACGAUAUCGACAAAUUAAUCAACAUGUCAACAUAGAAAACCCAUAUAAGCCAUGAUACGAUCCUCCGCAACAUCAUCUAGUAAAGCAAGUCUAUCAUUGCUAAAUCAUCAUCAAGCGAAGCAAGUGUCAAACAAUCCUCGAUGAAGUUUAUGAGCAAUCACUAGUCGCAGAGCAACUAACAAUCACUGUUCAACUUGUCUUCACAAGACCCAAACACUAAACUCACAUCAUCAAGUCAUAUACUUGUCCAAUAUGAAUGUGAUACCUCAGGUAUGAGAUAAAAGUUCAUAGACAAGCACAAACUAAAUGACCACUAGAAUCCAACUCAACCGCAAUAAUCUCAUUAAAACAUUUAGCCACUAGCUUUAAGCAUGUCUUGAAGAGGCUAGUUAUACGAUCAACACUCAGUUGAAACUAAAGUGAUGACCAUGAGAUAAAUCUAUAUCGGUACACAACCUCCUCAUAGACAAAGCUAUAAUACGGGUACCAACAUCUUAACCGCAAACAACUAAGUUGGAUAUCACCAUCUUUAGCUAAGGCAUAGAGCCACCAAGACCAAAUCAAGAUCAAUAAGAGCUCAUUACUCUCAUAAAGUCUAAGCGAAAUGCAAGGUGCAAUCUACCAUCAAGCACAAUGCUAUAGAAGAAAGGCAUAAGGGUCACCUUUCUAGAAAAGUGUAACGACCACUUUUCUAUACCAACUCUAGACUCUAUCCAACUCAAUUGCCUUAGCCUCAAAAGUCAGCAUCCCUUUUGGGUUGCAUCAUACAAACUACCUACCAAAGUCUAAGCUAACCGAAGUCAAUUCACUAGUUUGUACUUGUUUACAAAAAUGGAAUAGUUUUUAGCAAAGUGACCAACAGAUCAGCCAUUGGAGAAGUCUAAGAAAAUUUAUAGAAAAUUUCCAUCCUAGAGAAAAAAUGACUCUCAGUCCAGGAUUGCAAACUUUCAAGAUUCAACCAACUUCCUCCUACAAACAAUUUCACAUAGGUUCACCUCAACACAAAUUCUCAUGAUCCAACAAUAUGCUUAAGCAUCGAACAUCUUUGCCCAUAUAACCGACAUCCAAAACUGACAUCCGCAAAGUGCAAAAUGAACAUCCAAGGCUUGAUCACAAAGACCAUAUCUUUAGAUAUCCACAUUGCACUAACACUCUUCUUCAAUCACCUUCAAGAUCCAAUGUGAAGCCAAAACACUAAAAAAAAAAAUGACAUAGAAAAUCAAGGUCCAAGGAAAAUUCCUCAUCACUUGAAAUAACAAUGCCACCUCCACUAACACAAGUGUUAGUGAUGUCAAUGCCCCAACUACACAUCUUCUCCAUCCAACUAUCUACUCCAAGUGCUAAUGGAUCAACCGACGAGUUAUAGUAAAUGAAUGCUACAACCCUUUUCAACACCUUAUAGGUAAACCCAAGGAACAAAGUACAAACUUAAGCUUAGCAUAAUAGACCAUCUCUGAGAAUCCAGUUAAAGCUACCUUAAUGCUACUUCGUGCAAGUAAAUUAGCUUCUCCAUCAACCACUUUGGGGCUGAGUCUCAGUCUUAGUCUUGACAUCAACUCCACCUCAAGUCCAUCUCGAACUCGACCUCGGACUCCAUUUCGAGUCCAUCUCGGACUCCAUCUCGAACUCCAUCUUAGAUGCAUCUUGGACUUCAUCUCGGAUCCAUCUUAGACUCUAUCUUGAACUUCAUUUUAGACUUCAUCUCGGGUCCAUCUCGAACUCGAGUCCAUCUUGGACUCCUUCUGAGACUCCUUCUUAAACUCCAUCUUGACACUUUCACAUAUCAUGUGGUGGUCCUUUUGUGUCCCUUUUCUAGAGACUCACUGCUUGCUUCAUGCUUGUUCCUCAAGCACUUCGUUAGGAAUUCCACUUUAACUCUCGAUUGUCCCAAUUGGAGCUCCUAUUCCAAAUGUGUUAUAUUUGUUUGGCUUCCACUUUAGCCACUACCAUAUAGCACCCUUUUGGCUCCACUUUGGGGCUUAGGGAUUUGUGUCUCAUACAGAUUAGAUGAAAAAUAAUAUUGACGAUUUCAACAAUGCUCGCAAUGAUAUAAUACAAUCAAAAAGAUGAUCAACAAAAAAAUUGAGAUAUUGCACUUUACCUAAGAAGCAUUGCAUGUCAUUCAUACACUUCAAAGUAGGGAACUUUAAAAUAGCCAUAAGUUUGUUAGGAUCAACUUACAAAUUUUCACAAAAAAUAUAGUACCUAAGAUAAAUCGUAUCUUUGGAUUCAAAUAUGCAUUUUGACUACUUUAGCUUUAAACCAACUUUCUACAAUCAAUUUAACACAUUACAAACAUUAUAGAUGUGCUUCUUUUACAUCCUCUCCAAGUAGAUCAAAAUAUCAUUGAUGAAGUCAGUAGUCACCUCCAAUAAAAAUCUAACUUCAUGAACUAAUGACUUCUCCCCAAACAAUUUAGGAGAUCAAUAGUGUGAGGAAGAGGGUACAUAUUUGAGAUAGUCACCUCAUUAACAAAUGAUAGUCAAUACAGAAGUGAAUACUCCUAUCAGGUUUUAUUAGAAGAUGAAGUUCACAUGCUUAAGGACUUAAGACUUUCAAAUAAUACCCUUCUCUAACAUCUCCUUGAUAUUCACACAUAAAAUCUUAAUCCCCUUUGAUGAUUGAUGUUAAACAAGAAUUUUGAUUGGACAAGCAUCCUCAAUUAAAAUAGGAUGAUGUGUUACAAUUUUAGCCCCAAACAACAAGUCAAAAUUAAAAAUAUCAAUAUACUUCUUCUUGAGUCUAUCCACCAUUACAACACAAAGACUGUUGAAGGGAUCUAGAGAGGGAAUAAAGAAGCAAAAUGGAAAUACAAUAGGAAAUAAUGGGGAAAUAAAAGUGAUGGAAACAAAGGUAAAAACAAAAGGAUGAAAGGGAACAAAAGUAAGAGGAAUGAAGAAAACAUAAAUAUGAAACAAGGGGGCGAAGUCUUAAAGUUAUACUUGGUAUACUUGUGCUUUAAUCAAUCUAUACCAAGGAUGAGGUCAAAAAUUAAACUUAGUAUCACUCACAAUAAUUGAAUUCAAGCUUGAGAUCUCCUAUACGCACAAUUAAGUUCUCUUUAUCCCACACACACACACAGAUAUAUAUAUAUAUAUAUAUAUAAGGCCCUUGCCAUAAAGAAUAAAGAUUGGCUUUGCCACAUGAUAUAAUUAUAGACAGCAACAUAUAGCAAUAGGCUGAACAAUAGAAAAUAAACUCAAGUUUAUAUCAACUAAUAUAGAAAGAAUAAAAGAAGACCUUUUUUUUAUAAAAAUGGGCUUGAAAAGUAAGCAUUGAAUAAACUGAUAUCAAAUGAACCCUUUGAUGGUACUCUUGAAAGAAAGAUGGAGGGGUCACUGAUUUAUUCACAUAAGGACCCUCCACUACUCAUGUAACUCCUCGUUUCUUAGAAAAAUCUUUAUGCCAAGACCUUCUACUAUAGUAGCAUUAACGAGACAUUGUUAAUAUCAAAGCUUGCACCCAAGAAAUGGAGGAUGCCAACCCAAAAAAUGCCAACAAUGAUAAUAUGUGUGGCCACUCCUAACAACAGAUAUUAUGACCAUGAUCACGUCUUCGUCUUUGUCUUUGGACAAGAGCAACAACAUCAAUCUCCAUUAGAAUAAGACCAUCUCCCACAUGAAGGGGAGUUGAAAGACAUACAACAAGAAGUGGAAGAGGCAAUGUCUCAUAAUAUUGUGUCAGUCAAAAAACAUUGUAAAGGAUGAUUGGAGCAAAUGCAUAUACAAAUCCCAUAAGAUCUUGAUGAAAGUGUUGGCCUUAAUAUUUCAAUUUGAUCCGCUCCAACAUAUUUGGCUCCUGCAUGAAGCAAGAGGCUUUAAAAAUAAAUGCCCAAAUUGCAUUAUUGGAUAGCUUCAAGUGGCCUAAAAAUCACUCACCAUAAUCAUCAAUAUGUCCAAAUACAUACUUGAAGAUAUCCAAAAGAAUGCUCUAAUCUGCAUGAGUGGUUGCGCUCAAAUUAUUGUACUAUGGCAAUGUUGUCCUUUGUAAACGCUAAACAUCAUCUCAAGAAUAAUAGGUAGCAAUCAUAAUAAAGUGAUUAAACUAAUGGUACACAUCAUCUCUAGGAUUCCCAUAGAAUAACUUCAGCCAUAUGUGAAGAUUGACAGUAAGAGCAAGAAGUGCUGUAACAUAUACUAUAAAUGCUGCCAUCAACUAAGCCUGAUUAUUCAAUUGCAACCACAUAGUUAUAAGCAACUAAAAGAAUGAUAGAGAAUGUCAGUAUAUCAAAGAGGUUUCAAGUCCGACUUUAUUAGUUAAUUAGGGGAAUCACACCAUAUAUUGAGAUUUUGGGCUCAACUUGAAAGGUUAAAUGACUAAAAAGAACAACUCAAAAAAUGAUUCAUAAAAGUUUAAAUAUAAAGGGAAAAGAUCCAUAACAAAAAUGUACCCCAUUUUAAAUUGGUUAAGAGUUUUAUGAUAUUUAGGAUUAAGUGUUUUUGGGUUUAAAUAAUAUUAGACUGAAUGACUUCCCAAGAAAUUCAAAUUCAAAAGUUUAAAAUUGCAUUGAAUAACUACACUAAUUGCUCCUCCAAAAUCAAAGGAGGAGGAAGUUACUCUCACAAAAACAUGCAUUUUAAUUAUCCCAAAACCCCUAGUUUAUAUAGUUUGGAUUGAAACCAAUCCAACGCCUCUAUCCCCAAGAGUAUGAUCCUUAAAAGUAGCUCCCCCUAUUCACCUUUGUCUACAAUGCCCCUGGACAAUAAUGUUUGGAGAGGCUUAAAUAGAAGUCUGUAGCCAUCUGGUGUCUCCUUAACUGUUAGAUACACACUAAUGCAGCUUCAGAAAGAACCUAUGUAGUAAAUAACCUAGAUUGGCAAUUUAAUGUAAUUAGCAUAUGACCCAUAAUUAGAUCUUUCAUGAGUUUGGAUCAAAAGUCUAUAGAAAUCCCAUAUCUGAUUGCCAACAUGGUACUGCACACAUGCUCACUGUACUAGGUGAUAUAACCAAGGUAAGCUUAUACUGCACAAUCCCAAAUACCGUUCAAAACGCCUCUGCCUUACAUGCAUCUGUAGCACGCUCAAGCAAUCAGUGAGGAUCCUGGCAGGAUUCAAAUGCAUAAAUAGCAGGAUCCUGAGCAAGGUUGCUCAAGUAGAGAGACCACCAAAGCAGUCGGCCAUACUUGAGCAUCCACUCAUUACUAACCACCUCCUCAAAACAAUUCCCCUGUGUAGAUGUAGCCAGCAGAGUGUGCUGUUUUCCCCGAUAUCUCCCUUAAAGAAGGCAAUUAAAGGAGACGGAAGAAAAAACCCAAGGACCAGAUUCCGACUCUGCAAAGAAGGAUCGCACCACUCAGGUUCUAAGAAAUUGGUGACCCUGGAUGUAGUGUCUAUGAACAGAGUUAAACAUGUUCCACCUAACGCUCGUGUAGAUCUUCGAAGUGGCGUCCAUCUAUGGAAAGGUAACAGCAACCGGGCUUCAUUGAAGACAAACAGCAGCUUCAACAGUUGGCCUGUCAUCUCCAUACCAAUUCCCAAAGCCAGGGACCUCAAGAAUAUAACUCUGGAAGACUUCAAUGGCUUUAGUCUCCCAUGUCGUCCAUAGUUCAACUGAGUACUAGCCUGUAUCUUCUUGAGAAACUUAAGUUUCCAUUCAAGUUUUUUAAUCCGAUUCUCCACCCCCGGCCAAAAUCCCUUUCCACCAUCUACCGUCAUCAUGUUUGAAAACACUUGCAGCCCCCACGGCUCCUCUUUCCCUAGUCCUCCACCCAGCUCCUCAAUGCAUGCGAUCCAAUAAGCCAGACAGUAGGUCAUGCAUGCGAGAUGGCCUGCGUAAUCUCCAUUUCCCAGUGCCUGCCUUGCACGGCCGAGGAAAGCAUUUCUAAAAUAUGAGGGCUGAGGAUAACAGGAGCCAGAACCCAGCGACAAGUAAAUGACCCAAACCUGUUUCCGAUGUAACUCUCGAACCACCCUCGACUUACCCCAGCCGCUGGACUGGAAGAGACCAACGAUACGUGAAAAAUCAGUCUCCUUCUUGAUCUUGUUCAGGGCAUCGUAAAACGAGUCUACUCCACUGCCCUGAUAUUCCAUGUCAAGUGCUCGACCUGUAGCAGCAGCAAACAUAAACAUUCAUGCAAACUGACGCACUUACUUGCCAAUCGUUAACUCUAUGCCAUGUUGUGGACUUGUCCUUGUACUGCUACUGCUCCUCCGGUGUCAGCUUGUACCAGCAAGCUCUAUAGAUUUCAUCAAGCCAUUCCUCGCCGUUCAGCUUCUUGUGGAUACACUCCCAAGAUUUGAAAAGAAGCGCUGGGUACUUCUCCAACACCAUUCUCAUUUUUGAUUCCCGCGCCUCGUUGUCUAUUUGUUGCAGCGCCAUUUCAAGUACAUACUGUGGGCCGAUGCCUUAGUGUUUCUCUUGGUGCUCUGGCGACAACUUGUCCCAACUCUCAAGCAGCAGAUCCAAAUACAUCAGCUUCCUGUCAGAAAUGAAACCUUUCCGGGCUUUGACGAUAUCUCAUCUCCACCGAUCGCAUCCGCUCUUGUGCACAUAGCAGCAGCCCGUAUGCCUCGUCGCUCUCUUCCCGAAUCCUCUUUCGGUCCUCGCUGCCUUUUACCUCUGUCGGCCAUAGUUGGGGCUAGGGCUUGUAAUCGUGGAUCCAGCAGCGUCGACUCAUGUAUUCCAAGUGUGGAAACAUGGUGGAGGCUGAGAGAGUUCAGGAGCAUGCCUUGCCACAGCCUGGUGUCGUGGAUAAGUCGCACAGGAUUUGCAGCAGGAAAAGUUUUCAGGGAGGACAUUUCAUUGAUGAAAUGCUCGGCUUCUUGCAGUCUCCGACACCGUGCGAGGAGAUCGAUCAUACAGAUAUAGUGAUCUGGAGAGGCUGAAAUUAUGCCCUGGAAAUUCUGGUGGCCGUUCCCGCGUGGCUACAUGUUGCCAGAAGGUUGAGAAAAGUGAUUUGGUUUGGGAGAAUUCCCUCGAGCUUCAUCGCCUGGAAGAUCUCUAGCGCUGCUUCCUCCUAUUCAAUGUAGGCAGUGAGCAUCGCCGUCCAGGAGAUCACGUCGCGCUCGCACAUGGAAUCAAACACGGCUCUCGCGUCUAGGGAAUUGCGAUCUUCUUCGACUCCACAGCAACCAAGACUCGUCCGCGCUCCAGGCUGGGGAUCGCCGCACAGGCAUCGAUCGCCAGAGUGAAGGAAACCUCCUCGACCAAGACUCCCUCCAGAUCCAUGCGCACAAAGAUCACGAGGGAUUCUGGCGCGCGAAUCCACUGACCGCCCCCCAGGAGACGGCAUCCUUGCGAUCACGAGCAGCCUCUUCAGUCCCACUGCUCUCCACCUUUACAAUUGAAAUGCUGGCCCACACAGACUGCAUUAACGAGAUUAGAAAAUCUUUUGUAUAUCAAAGUAUGUCUAUGUAAGAAAAAUUGAAGAACACAGCUUUUAGCUUUUUGUGGUAUUUUUGUAAAUUUUUGUAACUUCACUUGUAAUGUAUGCUAAAAUACAUUUGUAUGUUAACCAACAUCACAUGUAAUAUAUGAGGUAUUCCAUCAAUUCCUCCUUUAACAAUGCCAAGCCCAGCAAGAGCAUUGACAAGAUCCAAGGCAAACAUUUUUUCCUGCGCUUCUUUCUUGUCAGCAUCAUUUUCCUCAUUAUAUUUGUCAUAUAUCGCAUUUGUAAAAGUCGUUAUAGUAAAAUAACAUAAUUUUAGAAAAGAGAAGGUUCUUAUGAAUUUUGUUUUUGGUUUACUUAAAGCAAACUUGAUAUACCUAGAAUAUAUUUGAAUAUUUUAGAAUAUUCUACCAUUUAAGGGUUGUUAUUUAUUUUCUAUAAUUUAUAAACAUGGUUAUAAUUUAUAAAUUUUUCUAAACACUUUUUAGUAUAUUCUUUUUUAUUCUACCAUCUAAUUGUUGACAUGCAAUAAGAUUAGUCUUGUUUUUAUAAAUUAUAUACAUGUUUAUAAUUAUAAAUUUUCAUUUGAUCAAUAAAUAAAAAUAACACUACUAUUAAGCAAACUAAAUAUUGCCACAACAAUUUUUUUUAAACUACUCAGUUUAGUAGUACUUAAUUACUUUUAUAUUUCAAUAUUUUAAAGUUUGUCAAAACCUUCAUUUCUUUGAUUAAGAUUUCCUUUAUAAUACUUAUAAUUAAGUACUUGACUUGCAUUAAAUUAACCUAAACUCGUAAAACUUUAAACCACCCCAGGAGCUUGGAUAGCCUUGUAGCUCCUUUCGAGAGGUUUCUUUCUUCCUACGAUCUGCCACGCAAUCCCACCGGGUGAAAGAAAUUCACAAGAUUAUUUUUCCUUGCGAAUCUCAUGUGGGGACAUGGUCUAGAUUGGCCUUCAAUCACAUCUGCCGACCCAAUGUCUUCUGCUCUUGGCGAUUGCCCAGAAUGGAACCUUGGGACGGCGUUCCAGCAUGGUUCGAAGCAAUGCCCAAGAGAGAUGUUACGACACUACGCAGCUGAUGGGAACUUGGAUCAAGCCCAGGAACUGUUUGAUCGAAUGCCGAGAAGAAUGUAGUGGCAUGGACUGUGAUGGUUACCGCAUUUCACCAUAAAGGGGAUCUGGAUAGUGCGAAAGAGUUGUUUGAUAAGAUGCCUGAGAGAAAUCCGGUUUCUUGGGGUGCUCUGAUGGCGGCUUACGCAGUGCACAACCGGCUUGAAGAAGUGAAGCGUUUGUUUGAUGCGAUGGAGAAAUCAAACGUUUACGUCUACACUGUGAUGAUCACUGCGUAUGCCAAAGCAGGGGAAAUUGCAAAUGCGGAGAGGAUGUUUGCUCUCAUGCCUGAGAAGGACGUAAUCGCUCAAACUACAAUGCUGCAAGCGUUUGCUCACAAUGGUCUUGUUGAGAAGGCAAGCAAGAUCUUUGAUGUAAUCCUUGACAAGUAUGAAAUGCCUUGGAACGAUAUGAUCAAUUGCAUAUGCUAAAAAAGGGCAGGCAUUUCAUGCAAAGCAAGUGUUUGAUUCCACGCCCGCAAAGAAACAAAACAUCGUGACUUAGAACUCAAUGCUCUAGCUGUUUAAUCUCCUAGCUCUAGAGCUGCUGAAAACCAUGCAGCUCGAAAGGAUCAAACCAAACGAGAUAACUUUCAUCGCAGCACUGGGUGCCUGUGCUGACGCCGGCAAGCUUGAAACUGGACAAGCGUUCCACGCCAAGAUCAUCGAUCAAGGACCAAUGCAUCCAGGUCUUGCUGGUGAAUAUGUAUGGGAAAUGCCGUAGCCUGGUGGAUACUGUCAGUCUUCAACCAAACCCAAGUGAGCCUCCGCAACACUAUUUGCUGGAUUGUGAUGAUCAUGGCUUUUGAAGACAACCACCACUUGCCGGUCGUGCGCUUCAUAGGCUGAUAUCAGAACACCCCAAAAAACCGGAUUUCUCUCCUGUCAAACAACUCUAUUUUGCGAUCAUAGUCCCCUUUCUGGGUACCAUCACAGUCCAUGCCACUUCGAUCAAACAGUUCCUGGGUUUGAUCCAACUUCCCAUCAGCUGCAUAGCAUCGUAUCAUCACGACCCCGGAGCAGCCCAGCGAAGAAAGAAACCUCUCAAAAGGAAGCUACCUUUUGUGAAACUUCUAUAUAAGAGUUCCAAGAAUUAGGGUUUGAUAGGAUUCUUAUGGGUCAUAGCAAAGAAUUAGUUGUAGAACUCCCAAGGGUAAUGAAAGUGGAGAAGAUUUUAUUCUCUUCCAACACCAACAAUCUAGAGUGUGAAGUAUUUGGGAAAGAGGAUCAAGACGGAGAGUGGAUGUUUUUGGGUAAAACAGGUCGAGAAGCAAGAUUCAAGCUCACCAAGCUGAGAUUCAUCCUUGUCAAACCUCUCUCUGGAUUUGAGGUAUCUACGAUUGUGAGUUUUUAUAGCAAGGACAAUGCCCAGAAGCCUGUGGAGGAGUUAGAGUUGAAAUACAUUAAUCCUCAAAAGGUGGACUAUCAAAAUCCUUUUAAAGUUGGCCAGCUUUCCAAGGACACUCUUGUCACGAAAGCAAUUGUUCGAUCCAAUCUCCGGUAUUACAAAUUCCGGUUGUGGGGCAACAUAGAGUAUCCCUGCCAAUGGUGGUUUCCAAUGGGAGACUACGACCAGGACGAGCCCAACCCUUGUACGCGAGAUUUGACCAUCAGAUACUUUGAUGUGAAGAACGAGGGGAAGUUAAUGCUAGCACCUCAAUGCAAGUUGAUUGUUUUUGAGAGGACUUCCACUUGUCACUCAGAGCGUGAGGAAUUUGAUCUACAUAAUCUUCCACAAAAGAAGCAGUCAAAUAGAAGGGGUUCUGAUAAAAAACUAUCUAAACUCUCUAAUCUGAGCUUAAAAGUUUUAAAGGCCUUAAAUGUUGUUAAAAGGAAUUAGAAUUUAUAAACUCAAAUCUUAGUAAUAAAUUCAACUUUAACUUGUUUGUCUAAUUCAGAGUAGGAAGUUUUCAUGUGACAAAUAACACAAGGACAAAACAAAUAUGUGUCUGCUAGGCUUCAAGCCAGAAUGUAGAAUUCUCACCACUAAAUAUUACCCUAAUACUGGACUGUAUGGUUCCCUAUUGCGAAUCAAACAAAUAAUGAAAGACAAGACAUAGAGGAAACCACAAUUUCCAAUUCAGCCCAUAAAUGCUAGUAGCCCAAAACUCCCUCUUUCUAAACCGGUCUAAUCAUCAUCCAUGGGCUCUCUCUCGAAACUUCACGUUGUUCUUAUCCCACUUCCAGCACAGGGACAUGUCGUUCCACUCGUCUAUCUUGCCCGCAAGCUCGCGCUCCUUGGAGUCACUAUGACCAUCAUCAACGUUGAUAGCAUCCACGAAACCUUGCAGCAAUCCUGGACGAGCGAGGCCAAUCCUGUGAAUAAUGGCCAGGACAUUCGCCUCGAGUCCAUCGAGGAUCCACUCGCGGAGCUCUUGUCCCGGAUCGAUCGAGAAGCAGAGUCGUCUCGGAAUUUUACCAUCUCAGUGCUCCACAUGCUGCAAAAAAAAGGCUGGAUUGGCUGGAGCGAGCUUUUGGCCGGGAAGUGCUGCUUGGGAUGCCAUCGAAUUCCACGUUCCAAAGCUCCUGGAGAUGGGAGACGUUCCUGUCAAAGGUAAAGCUUCGAUGAAUCUAGAAGUUUGUUCUAAGAAAACAUGGAAGUUUUCAAGAAUGUGAUAGAGGGAGAUGACAAGCUGAUCUCUUACAUCCCUGGAAUGGAGCUAAGAUCACAAGACAUUCCACUCUUCAUGCACGAAGAGAAUUCCAGAAGGUCAGGGAAGAGCAGUCAUUGCAUCUCUCCAAGAGGAUCACACGGGAUUCUUGGUUUCUGAUAAACUCUGUCCAUGACAUCGAGCUCCGAGUUUUUGAAGCGAUGAGGGAAGGAUUCGGGGCGAAGUUUGUGCCUGUUGGACCAUUGUUUCCUCUCAAGGGAGAAGCGAUCAAUUCAACUGGAUUGAAAGAGGUUAGCCUGAGAACUCCAGAUGAAUCUUGUCUUCCAUGUGGUUCUCUAUGUUUCGUUUGGAAGCAUCUCCUUCAUGACUGCCAAGCAAUUUGAGGAGAUCACAUUGGGAUUGGAGGCAAGCAAGGUUCCUUUCCUGUGGGUGAUAUGAUCUUUGGUAAUACUCUAAUUAUAAUAUUAUAGUAUAUGGAUUAUCCAUUUAAGAUUGAAUUUGAUCUAUCCAUUAUUGUAUAUAAAUAUUAGUUAUUAGGGGACAAUUUAUCUUUGGAAGUUUUUUAACAAUGUUUUAGUUAGUGUUUAAAAUUAUCUUUUUGUUUUUAUUCUUUCAUUCUUUUUUAGAUCUAGAUUUGUGUUUGUACUGUUCUUCCUUUUUAGCUUUUAUUACAUACUAUGCCAUGCUAUUGUUGAUUAAGGAGUGUGUUAUUUAAAGCUAUAAAUGAUAUAUCAUUAUUAUCAUCUAACAACAUUGUUUAUGUGAUUGUAUGAUGCUUAUCACAUACUAAUUAUAUAUAGCAAUCUUUAUUGUGAUUUUCAUAUUAGAGACUUUAUUUUUGUUUAACUGUAGUGCAUAUGGUUUUCACCUUGUACCCUAUGAUGAUUUAUUAUAGGAUAACUACAAAGUAGAACUUUAACCCUCCACAUCACCUACUAUGUGCCACAUGCCAUGUGUCUAAGGAUAGUAUAGCUAAACCCAAGUUUCAAGACUUUAGGCCACUGAAUGAAGGGGCAAAGCCAAACUCUUAAGCAUAAAACAAAGGAGUGAAAGAAGUAGAGCAUAGAACUCCUCUUGAGCAUACAAUCUAAUGAAUGAAGGGGUAGGAGCAUAGUGUGACUUGGAACAAUCCUAAAACUUUUAAUAUCCCUAUAACAUACCUAAAUUUGGGGUUAAAUUUCAAAUUAAUUACACUAUGAAACAAAGGUUUAAUACACUCUCAAUCCUAUAAACACGAGCACCCCAUAUUUAGCAUCUACAUGCUAAAUGGUGCUAAACAGUGUGUAACACAAUUUUGGCAUACUAGUGACCUAACAUAAGAAGGAGAAUAUGUUAUUGACUAGAGCAAUAUGGAGCUUGAGUUUAGACUUAAGCUGGCCAGGCAUAGAACAAGGAGCAACACAAUCUAAUGGAAGCCAAAUUAAUACCUUAAUGGUUAAUUAUGCAUUCCAACCAUUAUUUAUACUAUACAUUUGGAACCCUCUAUACCCCUAAAGAACACACACUUUAGGCAUUUACUAUGAAUACCAUAUACUACUAAAAUGAAAUUAACACAUAAGGCGUGAUAGUGAAGGUGGGUAAACUAUAUAUUACUAAAAUGGAAUUAACACAUAAGGCAUGAUAGCGAAGGUGGGUAAACUAUCAUGUAAUGAUAGUUUGGACUUCUCAAGAGGUCACCCAGCCUAGUAUUAUUCAAACCCAAGGAUGCUUAACCCCAAAUAUCUCAAGACUCUUAAUCAAUUGGAAAAAAAGGUGCACUUUUAUUUAUGGGCCUUUUCCCUCUAUAUUUAAACUUUAUAGAUUGUCUCUCAAGUCGUUCUUUUUAGUUGCUUACAAUUCAUCAUGCUUCCCUACAAAUUCACGCUAUCAUGAAUGGAAGCUAAGAGCUAUAGCUCUCCCAAGAGCCCCACUCUCUUGACACCUUACCCCUCGGGUCAAGCCUAACAAGAACAAAUUAGACUAGCCAAAUGUCAAUUAACAUAUGGUGUAAUUCCCCUAGCCAACCAAUAAAGUCGAACCCAAGACCCCUCUGAUACCAAAUGUAAAUUCUUGAGUUUGGACUUCUUAAGAAAUCACCUAACCUAGUAUUAUUCAAACUCAAGGAUGUUUAUCCAAAGACCCUUAACUAAUUAAAAAAAGGAGUGCAUUCUUAUUUAUAGGCCCUUUCUCUCUAUAUUUGAACCCUAUGGAUCGUCUUUCAAAUUGUUCUCUUUAGUCACUUACAUCAAUAUCAUGGGUUCCUAACAUUAGUAAGUGCAAGUCAAUGAAUGAGUUUCUUUAACAAAGUCAAGUAUGUUUGACUAAUAACAUUUAAGAAUUUUGUCCUUAUGUUCAUCUAGUUAAGUGCACACGUGAUGACCAAUUUUUCAACUAACUUGGGUGGAAAUCAUAAAGGGAACUAGCAAUACCAACCUCUUGUUGUUGUGGUAAUAAGGAGAGAGUGUGCAUAACAAUUAACUGAUAAAUAUCUUUCAAUACCCAAAGUUAUAUUCGCAAUACUCUCCUCCCCUUGGGGAAAAUUAAUAUCCUCGUCAAUACAUACCUGAGUCUAACAAACUGUCAAGAAAAAAAUUCAAAAAGUUAACAGAAAGCACACUAUAUAAAAAACACACCAAUUUAAAUGAGUGAUGGAACUACUUUUCCUUACAUCUAAAGUCAUUAAGACUCAAACACCCUCUGGCCAUUACCAACAAAGAAAUGAUUAAUAAAGUUAGCCACCCUUGCUACUCUAAGUAUCACUCGGUAUACAAAAGAAUGAUGCCCACAGGGAUAUAAUGAGAGAGCCAAAGGCCCAACUCCCCUUAGCAAGAAAUUAACCACAUUGGAAAGAUAUAGACAAUUAUUAUAAAUUGGUAAAUAAAGUUGUUUAUAUGACUAUGUCUCUUUCAAAAAAUGAAUUAAUGAGAGAAAAGUAAGAACUUGUGAUCAGUCUAUAAUAAUUAUCCCCAUGGUUAUAGAUUAUAACCAUACAUCAAAGUGUUAAAGUCAGCCUGCCAAAACUGUCCCAAAAACUAAUGAACAAAAAAAAUGUUUAAUUGAAAUAUAUUACUUUAUUGAUUGCAAGAUUUAUUAUAAAGAUUUACAAAAGUUAUUUUUUAUUACAAGUCUCAUACUUUGUGACAAGGUCACAAGCAUGUGUAAGAUUACUAAGAGGCUCCCAAGUUAAUUCACAAGUAGAAUAACCAUGCCACUUAAUUAAUUAUUCUUUGGUAUGACCACCACAUUUUUGACAAUAUGAUAAAAUGUUUUCAACUUUGUAUUCAGAUUUACUGUUCAAAACUUCUAGUGGCAGACAAAUCUCCCCUUCAUAUGCAACAUCCAUAGUGUAUAGAGCUAAUAAAUUGGCAUGAAAUACAUUAUGAACAUUGGAUAUGGAAGAUCUAACCAAUAAGAUAUAUCAUCAAUCCAUUUCAAAACUUGAUAGGGUCUAAUAUAUCUUGGUAAUAGCUUCUGAGAUAAAAAUCUCUUAAUAUUCAAGUUUUGGGAAGAUAGCUACACUUGAUCUCUCAUUUGAUAAGAUACAUUGUGAUGAUACUGAUCUUUAUCAUGUUGAUACUUAUCCUAAGCUUUGACCAUCGCAUUAGUAGCUCUAAAUCAACUGUGGCAUAGCUUCUUCACAUAAGUCUCAACAGCCAAGACUAACACUUUAGACAUUGGUUUUGGCACAAAAAUCUAUUAAGGAACCCCGUGAGCAUUCCCUUGUAACAUCUCCUAUGGAGAACAAUUAAUAACACUAUGAAAUAUGUUGUUAUAACAGAUUUUGUUGUGUCCAAAUGCUCAACCUAGUCACGUUAGUUCGCUACAACAUAAUACCACUAAUAAUCCUUAAUUUCAGCAUUCAAACGUUCUCUCUGCCCAUUAGUUUGAGGAUGAUAAAUUGUACUAAACUUCAACUUAGUAUUGAAUAACUAGAAUAGUAUGGCCUAAAACUUCCCCGUAAAUCUCAAAUCUUUAUCUGAGAUCAUUUCUUCAUGAAGACUACAAACCUGUACUACUUUAUGGAAAAAGAGUUUUGCUACUUGCUUGGCAUUCAUUAUUUCCAUAGUUGAAAUGAAGUGUGAAAUCUCCGACAACCAAUUCACAACCACCAUCAAAGUAUCAUAACCCUUAGACUUUAGCAAGCAAAUGACAAAAUUAAGUGUCACACUUUGAAAUAGCCAUGCCGGUGCUGGAAUGCACUACAACUUCUUAACCUGCUUCUCAGUUCUUUGCUUACACUACUAACAUAUAGGGCAAGAACGGAUGUAAUUUGCUACAUCAUUUUCCAUACUAGACUAGAAAAAUCCCUUUUUCAAUAAAGCAAGAGUUUUUCAUUUACCACCAUGUCCCACUACCAGAACAUUAUGAUGUUCCUAUAAAAACAAUUGUUGCAAAUCCUUAGAGGGAAGAUAUAAUUUUUUUUACUUAUAGAAAAUAAGUUUGUUCUGAACUGAGAAGUGAAGUUUUACAUUGGCACAACUAACAACUUUGCUACUUCACUACUAGGGUUUUGCUUCGACAACUCUACAUGGUGCAAGAUUACUUUUGUUAAUGGAUCACUUCCAUAUGAAGCCCAAACAUCCUCCGACCAGUCUAAAUUGAUUGUUGACAUGUUGAUGCGUAACAAAAAGGACCAACGCUUUAUAAGAUGACUUAGUGACAUAUGACCUUUAUCAAAAAGCUUUGUGAGUUACUUCUUGAGUUCAGCCACCUCCUUGAUGUUUAAACAAUAUAAAGCUUUUCUAGGUGGUUUAAAACCUAGAACAAUCUCAAUCCGAUAAUCAAUCUCAUGGAUAAGAGGUAGUAUUGGUAGUAAAUCCUUUGGAAAGAUAUUUAAAUUCCAUGCUAAUAACUCUAAUAUUUCUUUUAGUACAGGAUAAACUUUAUCACCAGUUCGAACUGGGUCACUAUCACCUUCAGCUUCCAUCACUUGAACUUAAAAGGUCUAACAUCCCUUCUUAGCUGCUUUUUGAGUGGCUCUUGCAGUAAAAAAAUUAGCAUUUUAAUCCUUUGAGGAGUGUUUUUGCAAUUAAAAAGACACAUCAUAAGUCCUUCUAUAUGACUUUAUCUAGCACUAUAAAUCCUUUUGAUAUAUUUGUUGAAGAAAUUUAUACCAAACACCAUAUGAAAAUUUGGUAUCUUCAACACUACCAAGUUCAAUCUCUUUUUUCACUUGAAUAUUUUUAUUGGAACAUCACUCACAAAUUUUCUAGCUACUUGCCCACCUUCCACAAAAUAGAAACAUAUGGGUAACAUGGCCUUAGCUUUCAAUCUUAAUAACUUUACUAAGUCUUCAGAUAUUAUGUUGUACAUAGCUCUUAUGUCAAUCAUCAAUCAGAUUUAGUAUCCAUAGAUAAAGCCUACAAGAUACAUUAGUGCUUGCAUUCACUAUGAAAAAGGCUUGAGGGAAGUAAUAAAAGUAACUCACCUCUUAUUCCUCAUAAUUUACAUUAACAACCUCAUCAACCCUUUCAACUUUGCCACCACCAUCUUCCCCCAUGACAUUAACAUGAGAUAUUAUCUUAUGCUUGUUGGGACAUUCCAAGGACCUAUAUCUUACCUCUCCAUAAUGGAGGCAAUAACCCAUACUACCCAUUCCACUAGAAAUAGGUUUUGCAAAUCAUUAUUGCUUGUACCCACCAUAAGGAAGAACAAAGGGCCUAAGACCAAAAAAAGCCAUUAAUGGUCACGAACCACCAUUUUUGUUAACCAUUAUUUGUGCCCAAAGUGGAACUUCCCUUCCAUUAUUUUUGAUCAUUUUGUUUAUUCCCAAAUUUUUUAUUUUUGUCCGAGGUAACAAUAUAUAGUUGCUAAUAUUGUUGCAUGAAUGAGUGACUAAAGGCAACCUGUUGUGUUGCUUUUUUACACUCUAUAUAUAUCUUUGGCUUAAACUUUAAAAUCUCAUUAUGAGAAAGUGAAUUUGAACCUUCCAGGAAAUAACUUCAAACAUCUUUGUCACUCAUAUUUGCAAUCAUAAUGUGCUUUUUUGAAUUGACAAUCACAAAUCACUACACUUCACAGUAAAUUGAUACAAGGAGGUAAAAUAUAUGUUUUAUAUGUUUUUUGGUUUUCUCCACAGCUGUCCAGUGGGCAAUAUAUAUCAUAUCAUACAAUGUGUCAGCUUCUUGCCAGGGUUUAUUAUUAAGAUCACUAGCAUGAUUUAAUCCUAGAGAAGGUGAAUUAUAAUAAUUCAAGUAUUCAAAAACCCACUAAGUCUCCAACCAUUUGGACUCAGAACCUCGCCAGCGACUAAAAUUGAAAUUGUGUAUGCUCUAGAGACAUGUGUUACACGUAAACCCUAACAUGCAACUCUAAAUCCUAAACAAAAAACAUAAUACAAGAAGGUUGGAGCGGGUAAACUGUAAAACCCUUCAUGAUGUAUGUUACCCUGGGAGAAUUAAUGACUACAAAAUUAUGAUUGAAAUAGAAAAUGGUUGUCAAAUAUCAAGCAUAUCACUUGAUCUGGUAAAAAAACUUACACUCCCUAUAUAUCAUAGUUCACAGUUACAUGUAUUUUUUAAUAAGACCAUGUGCAAAUGAUCAAUUGAAAGAAGGAUAUGGAAUUGAAGAUUUAUCUUAUAAAUUUGGAAAUUUUCUAGAGAGGAGAACAUUCAGUGUUAUAUGAAAAGCUCUUCUGAGACUACAUUUCUUAAAGAUGAUAAACAUGUGGUAAUUGUUGACUUUAAAAAUCACAUUGUUACUUUUAAAUGCAAUGAAUCAAGGUUGGUGGCACAGAUUUCAAUCUUCACAUGGUAUAUAUGAGGUGAGUAAAAAUAAAUUCAAAGAUAUGAAUAACUUAUGUUGGUGUUCUAACACUCCAAGAGAUAUUAGUUUGGCUGCAGAAAAAGUUUGUGCCUUUAGAAAACUUUCCAGAUUUCCUUAGUGUGAGAAGACUUAGAUGAACUUUGGGAUCUCCCAUGCUUCAUUUUAAGAAAAUAAUAAAAACGGAAUAAUAUUUGUGCUUAGGAUCAAUCACAAUGGCAUUGCAAGCAGCACCAACACUCCUUUCAACUUAUACAGAGUGGAUCUUACAGGCAAUCACGAACAUCCCCGAUUGGAAACAUCUCAAAUUAAUAGCAUUACAUUUAUGAUCUCUUCAGCAUCAUCCAAGAGCCCACAAGAACACUGAUCAAGCAGCAAUAGUGAUCUCACUUGGGACUUAGAUUGUAGUCAGAAACCAUUGGAGCUAGUGUGUCUCUAGUAGGGAUUACCAGCACAAGGUGGCAGCAAACGAUCAAAAGGCCCAUGAAACUCUUGAGGUCACGAUGUUUGGCUGUAAACAACAUCUAAACAAUUGCCAAGCGCUCGUCCAAGUGUCAUUUUGCCCAUACACUCUGAUAAUGUAAUUCCUUUAGAAAUUCUACGGUGUCAAACAAGCACUUUUGGCAUAUGCAGUGAUCAUAACAUUCCAUGCUAAGAAAACUGUCCAUGAGACAAGGUUUCUUUGAGGCAUUGAAUCAAAGAGAUUGUGAAUCCAUUGACAAUAACAUACAAGGUAGCUCAUGCAAACUACGUUCCACUCUAGAAUUUGAUAAAAAAACAAGCCUUGCACGUACAUUUGCCAAUCACAUUCCAUGUCACUACAUUCUUCCCGGGCACGGAAUAAAAAGCGUGCAAAGCUGAUGAUUAUGAAUGUAAUCUUGCAGCAGGAUUUUCCAUGGAAAGGAGUCUGGGGCGCGAAUGGAGUCAAACAUGCAGACCAGAGCUCCUGCAUUUGCCAUGCCUUCGAAUCCUGUGGUGUGGCAACACCAAAGAUCUAAGCAAUGCUUGCAAGAUCCACGAUUUUGAAGGAACAUGUUAAACAACGUCUACAUCGUCCAAAUGCGAUAUCCCGGCGCUUAAAAGCUUCCUAUCUUGCAAGGGUUUAGGGUUUAUCAAAGAUGACAAGGGUUUAGGGUUUAUCAUUCCCUAGGUCGAUUUUCCAAUAUCAAACCCCGCCAAGGAUCCAACGCCAGUGCCAGUGGAGGAUGAUCCCAAGAGCUUGUAUGGUGCUACAGUGAGAGUGGCAGUCUAGUGUGGUGGGAUUUUGAGAUCCCUAACUGGGAUUUCUAUGACGAAUGUAGAGUGUCCUUAAGGCGGCCAGUUUUGCAAAGAGCUCUGAUGAGUAUGGUGUAGACCGUGACUCCUGGCUUGAAUCCUUGGACCUUUGCUUUGUCCAGCAUCAUGGGCAAUAAUCAUCGCUGCAAAUGUAUAUGGCAAUACAUGGCAGCUCUAGAGCACUUCCACUGGGAUUUCUCUCCACCAUUUGCCCUCGUGUAAGUUCUCGCUCUUUCCUCUUUGCUGGAUUUGAAUCCAUUGUUGUGAUUUUUGUGGUUCUUCCAGCUCACAAGAAUUUGUCAUCUGAUCGAAUUCUCAUGCUGGAUUUGGUACUGUGGACUGUCGAUGAGCACAUCUCUUCGUCACCUCUACGGACAGUGAUCUCUCUAGUGCGUUGCACUCGCUGCAGAUGAAGAACUACAACGUUCUUCUGGCAUGCAACUCUCGGCCUCCCCGGCUCUCCUUGCCGCAGCUUCGGUAGUAUGGCAGUGGGGUAAGCUCGCUAGAGCAGAAGGCCUGGUAGCACAGACAAUCGUGAGCAGAGGCGGUGACUAGAGCAUUCCAGGAGAGAACGCUGCGCUGGGGCAUCCUCUGAAAAAGAUCUUUCGCCUCACGGAUAUGCCCGUUCUGGGCAUAUGCCACCACCACCGCGUUCCAGGACACGUGGCUCUUUCGACGGAUGCGAUCGAAUGUCACCCGGGAGUUUUUAUAAAUUCGUCACCGCCACCAUCUUCUCCUCCACUAUCAUUUACGCUGCCAACAACGCUACUUUUACCUUUGUCUCCAUCGCCGCCAAUACCGCCACCACCAUACACUCCAGCUCCGCCACCACCUAGUCCAGCCUCGCUUCCGCUACCACACACUCCACCCCGCCACCACCUUGUCCAGACGUCCAGCACAAGAUUCUCCGCCUGUGACACUAGAGAAGCAGGAAUCUUUACAGGACUUCCACAAGGAUAUUUGCGCACUGCUCCAACAAGCGGCUUUGACGCUCAGCCAAAAGCCUCCGGAAUCGAUGCUUUUGAGUGUGACCCUGGGAGAAAGGAUGAUUGCUCCACAGCAACAGAGAACAGGAGAGUUUCCAAGGGGAAAGCUACUGAGAGCUCGACGUCUCAGUGUAAAUGCUGUGAAAGUGAAGGAUGGAAACCUAGUCGGGAGCCCAGCUCGCCAGGUGCUGUCACCAGUGCCCGAGACGAAGGAAAGUGGACGUGGAGAAGGUUUUGUUCGGAUCCGGGAUGGAGGAAGCGGCAAAAGGCAAAAUACUGCCAAGCAAAUCGAGGAGAUUGCGCUGGGAUUGGAGGCAAGCAAGGUUCCUUUCCUCUGGGUGAUACGAUCAAACUCUGUUCUUCGCAUGGACGAGGAAGGUUUCGUGAGCAGGACUGGCGGGAGAGGAUUGUUUGUGAGCUGGGCGCUGCAGCUAGAGACCUUGCAGCACGAAUCAACCGGGGCUUUUGUCACUCACUGUUCAUGAGUUCGAAUGUCCGGAUGGCCUCCUGGGCCUCACCAGCUCGAGGGUAGGCCGCGACCAUGGCGUCGUAAGAAGUUACGUGUGGAGGGAUUUGCCGAAAGACAGCCUCGGCACUGGGCAGUGAUCCACACCUCGCAAACAUCUGGACGAGAAAGCUUCUGGAGUGGAGGCUCGCCUGGUUGGCUUCUCCGAGAGGAGUGACCCCGACAUGGUUGGCUUCCACGCCUUCCAAGUCCAUUCCAGUGAGAGCUUGGAUGGCCUCGCGGCAGUGGUGGUUGUUUCCAAAGGCCGUGAUCAUUGCAGUCGGCUCGGUCGAAGACUGUGACGGCGUCCACCAGGCUGCGGCAUUUCCCAUACAUGCUCCUUUCAUCCUUGUCAAGGAUUACAUCAAAGAUCUUCGUUGCCUUCUCGAAAACACCAUUGUGAGCAAACGCUUGCAGCAUUGUAGUCCGAGCGACUACGUCCUUCUCAGGCAUGAGAGCAUACAUCCUCUAGGCAUUUUCAUUUUCCCUGGCUUUGGCAUACGCAGUGUUCAUCUCAGUGUGCACGUAAAAUGUUUGGUUUCUCCAUCGCAUAAAAAAACGCUUCGCUCCUUCCAGCUGGUCGUGCGCUUCAUAGGCUGAUAUCAGAGCACCCCAAAAAACCGGAUUUCUCUCUCCUGUCCCCUUUCUGGGUACCAUCACAGACUACAUUCGUCUCGGGCAUUCGAUCAAAUAGUUCUUGGGUUUGAUCCAAGUUCCUAUCAACUGCAUAGCGUCGUAUCAUCACGACCCAUGGCCCCACAUGAGAUUUGCAAGGAAAACAUUGGAGCUAUGGUGGCCGCUCAAAGUCCUGUGAAUUUCUUUCACCCUUUCCCGGACAGCAAAGCUACCUUUUGUGAAACUUCUAUAUAAGAGUUCCAAGAAUUAGGUUUUGAUAGGAUUCUCAUGGGACGUAGCAAAUAAUUAAUUGUAGAACUCCCAAGGGUAAUGAAAGUGGAGAGGAUUUUAUUCUCUUCCAACACCAACAAUCUCGAGUGUGAAGUAUUUGGGAAAGAGGAGCAAGAUGGAGAGUGGAAGUUUUUGGGUAAGACAGGUCGAGAAGCAAGAUUCAAGCUCACUAAGCUGAGAUUCAUCCUUGUCAAACCUCUCUCUGGAUUUGAGGUAUCUACAAUUGUGAGUUUCUAUGGCAAGGACGAUGCCCAAAAGCCCGUGGAGGAGUUGGAGUUGAAAUACAUCAAUCCUCAACAUGUGGACUAUCAAAAACCUUUUAAAGUCGGCCAGCUUUCUAAGGACACUCUUGUCACGAAAGCAAUUGUUCGAUCCAAUCUUCGGUACUACAAGUUCCGGUUGUGGGGCAACAUAGAGUAUCCCUGCCAGUGGUGGUUUCCAAUGGGACACUAUGACCAGGACAAGCCCAACCCUAAAUCGCGAGAGUUGACCAUCAGAUACUUUGAUGUGAAGAACGAAGGGAAGUUAACGCUAGCGCCUCAAUGCAAGUUGAAAGUUUUUGAGAGGACUUCCACUCGUCACUCAGAGUGCGAGGAAUUUGAUCUACACAAUCUUCCACAAAAGAAGCAGCCAAGCAUUCGACAAAAGAAGCUGCCAAGCAGAUGGGAUUUUGUUAAAAAGCUACUAUACUUUGCUUUAAAGGUUUUUCGAAGGAAUUAAAAACGUUUAUAGACUUAAAUCUAUCUUAAAUAAAAUAAAAUCUUUGUCUCUUCUCUUUGUCUGAUUUAGAGUAGGAAGUUUUCAUGCGACAGAUCAGAUAAGGAUAUGUGUCUGCUACAUUGAAUUCUCACCACAAAAUUUUAACCACAAUACGGCCACCUCUUGGACUGUAUGGUUCCUAUUGCCAAUCAUACGAUUAUUAGUGAAAGACAAGACGUAGAGGAAAGAACAAUGUCCAGUUCAGCCCAUAAGUGCUGGUAUUUUAAACGAUCCAUCAAAACUUCCUCUUUGAAAAGUUUCUUCUUUGUUUCUUGGUCUAAUCAUCAUCCAUGGGCUCUCACAAGAAACUUCACGUUAUUCUUAUCCCACUUCCAGCACAGGGACAUGUCAUUCCAAUAAUCUAUCUCGCCCGCAAGCUCGCGCUCCUCGGAGUCACUGUGACCAUCAUCAACGUUGACAGCAUCCACGAAACCUUGCAGCAAUCCUGGAAGAGCGAGGACAAUCCUGUGAGUAAUGGCCACGACAUUCGCCUCGAGUCCAUCUCUAUGGACAUGCGAGUUCCCAAUGGCUUCGACGAGAAGAACUUCGACGCGCAGGCCGCCUUCUCCCAGGCCAUCUUCCGAAUGGAGGAUCCACUCGCGGAGCUCUUGUCCAAGAUCGAUCGAGACGGCCCCCGAGUCGCGUGUGUAGUCUCGGACUUUUACCAUCUCAGUGCUCCACACGCUGCAAAGAAGGCUGGAUUGGCUGGAGCGAGCUUUUGGCCGGGAAACGCUGCUUGGGCUGCCAUCGAAUUCCACGUUCCAAAGCUCCUGGAGAUGGGAGACGUUCCUGUCAAAGGUGAAGCUUUGAUUGAUCUAGAAGUGUGUUCUAAGAAAACUUGGGAUUUCUAUGGUGCCAGCGGGAGAUGAAAAGCUGAUUUCUUACAUCCCUGGAAUGGAGCUAAGAUCGCAAGACAUUCCACUCUUCAUGCACGACGGAGAAUUCCAGAAAGUCGGGGAAGAACAAUCACUGUAUCGCUCCAAGAGGAUCACACUGGAUUCUUGGUUUCUGAUAAACUCUGUCCACGACAUCGAGCCGCGAAUUUUCGAAGCGAUGAGGGAAGGAUUCGGGGAGAAUUUCGUGCCGGUUGGACCAUUGUUUCCUCUCAAGGGAGAGGCGAUCGAUUCGACUGGAUUGCAAGAGGUAAACCUGAGAACUCCGGAUGAAUCUUGUCUUCCAUGGCUAGACAAGCGUGAUCGUGGUUCGGUCCUCUAUGUUUCGUUUGGAAGCAUCUCCUUCAUGACUGCCAAGCAAUUCGAGGAGAUCGCGCUGGGAUUGGAGGCAAGCAAGGUUUCUUUCCUCUGGGUGAUACGAUCAAACUCUGUUCUUGGCAUGGACGAGGAGUUCUACAAAGGUUUCGUGAGCAGGACUGGCGGGAGAGGAUUGUUCGUGAGAUGGGCGCCGCAGCUAGAGAUCUUGCAGCACGAAGCAACAGGGGCUUUUCUCACUCACUGCGGAUGGAACUCCAUGCUUGAGAGCUUGGCGUGUGGAGUGCCAAUGCUGGGGUGGCCAUCUAUGUUUGAGCAAAACACGAAUGCCAAGCUGGUGCUGGAAGGCGAGGGCGUGGGAGUGGCAUUCUCGAGAUCUGGAGGGAAGGAUGGAUUUGCGCCGAGAGAAGAGGUGGAAGAGAAAGUGAGGGCGAUCAUGGAGGGAGAGCAAGGCAGGAGAUUGAAAGCCAGGGCGAUGGAGAUUCGAGAAUUGGCUGUCAAGGCCGCUUCUCCCGGAGGUUCUUCUCACACGAACCUCAAGAAAUUCGUGGAGAGCCUUGCCUCGUAAAGAAGAUCUAUUCAUUCAAUGAAGUUUAAGAUUCGGCUAGUUCUAGGCUAGAAAUGCCCCACCAAUGUUUGGGGUGGCAAGAAAGGAGCAGGAUGAUUUGGCGGCACUGCUCAAUGCUUGCGCUCAGUCGCGAGACUUGAUCAAGGGCCGGCGAAUCCACUCGCAAAUUCUCCACAGCAACCACGCCACCAACACAUACCUCCUCAACAUGACCACCAAAAUGUAUGCCGUGUGUGGCAGCAUCGAAGAGGCGCGCAAGAUCUUCGACUCCAUCCAAUCCCCCAAUCUCUUCUCCUGGACGAUCAUGCUCGCUGCUUAUGCCCAGAAUGGGGAUCUCGCUCGGGCAAUUGAUUUCUUCGCGGGGAUGCCGCUCAAAAACGCUGUUGCGGCAACGAUCAUGAUCGUCGCCUAUGGCCAAGAGGGCGACGUGGAUUCCGCUAAGCUGGUUUUUGAUCGUGCCUUGCCCAAGAAUCUCGUCUGCUGGAACGCGAUGCUCACAGCAUAUGCCCAGAACGGGCAGUUUCAGGAAUCGAAGCUUCUCUUUGAUACCAUGCCCGAGAGAGAUGUGAUCUCUUGGACCGCAAUGUUACAAGCGUAUGCCCAAAACGAUAGUUUGAUAGAUGCCGAGAAUGUUUUCGCAAGAAUGCCCAGAUGGAAUGUAGUUACGUGGACUGCUAUGAUUCACGCAAAUGCUCAAGCCGGGCAUCUGGAAAAAGCGAGAGAGAUCUUCGACACGAUGCUAGAGAAGAAUCUAGUGUCGUGGAACACUCUCAUUGCGGGAUUUGCUCACAAUGGAUCGAUCGAGGAGGCGGAGAAGCUCUUUCUGGAGAUGCCCGAGCGGGAUCUCGUGUCUGUGAAUGCUCUGAUCUCCGCUCACAGCGAGCUUGGGAACGUUGAUCGAGCGCAAGCUAUCUUCGAUUCCACUCCCCUGGUGAGCACCGCGCUCUGGAACACGAUCCUGGUGGCCUACGGCGACAAUGAUCGCAUCGACAAGGCGAAGGCCAUCUUCGAUCGUGAGAUGAAGCAGCGGGAUCUCGUGUCGUGGAACUCGAUGAUCUCAGCAUUCUCGCUGAGCGGCGAUCACGACGAAGCCCAACGGCUGUUCGAUGCGAUGCCCGAGCGAGACGUGGUGUCUUGCAACUCGAUCCUCGCGAUCUACACGCAGCAGGGGGAUCUGGAUCGAGCGCAGCACCUGUUCGAUUCAAUGCCGCGCCACGACGCGAUCUCCUGGAACGCCAUGAUCGCGGGGCUCUCGCAGCACGGUGGGAAUCUCUCCCGUGCGGAGAAACUCUUCGGUGAGAUCCCCCAGCGCGACGUUGUCACCUGGAACGCGAUGAUCACGGGCUACGCCCAGCACGGCCGGCUAGAACACGCCAAGAAAAUAUUCGACGCCAUUCCACGCUGGAGCCUCGUCAGCUUCAACGCCAUGGUGGCAGCAUAUGCCCAGAACGGGCAUCUGGAAGAUGCUAAGAGCAUCUACGACCAGAUGCCCCGCCACAGCGCCGCCUCCGCCAACGCCCUCAUCGCCGCUUACGCCCAGCAGGGCUAUCUCUCCAGUGCCGAGUCGCUCUACGCCACGCUGGGUGGUAAUGGGGGUAGAGGCGGCGGAGGUAGCGGAGAAGAUAGCGGAGCUGCAGCGGAAGCGGAGGAAUCCACCACUGUAUCCCAGACCGUAAUGGUGUCGGGCUACGGUAGCAACCACUGCCUGGCGGAGGCCAAGCUGGCGUUCGAUCGCAUCCGUCGAAAGAGCCACGUGUCCUGGAACGCGGUGGUGGUGGCAUAUGCCCAGAACGGGCAUAUCCGCGAGGCGAGAGAUCUCUUCGAGAGGAUGCCCCAGCGCAGCGUUCUCUCCUGGAAUGCCCUAGUCACCGCCUACGCCCACUCGGGCCACCGCCGCGAGGCCGUGAUCGCAUUCCAGGCGAUGGAGCUGGAGGGAUUCAAGCCAGACGAGGCCGGAUUGAUGAGCGUCAUCACCGCGUGUGGCCACAUUGGAUUGCUCAGCUAUGGAUGCCGCUACUUCUCGCGGAUGGAGAGCGAUCGCGGUGUGGCGCCUCUGCGCGAGCACUACUGCCGGAUGAUCGAUGUGCUGGGGAAAAUUGGGCUGCUGGCGGAGGCGGAGGAGCUGAUCGAGAGCAUGCCUUACGAGCCCAAUCUUGUGGAGCUCGUGAGCUUGCUGGGCGCUUGCGAUGUGCACAGGGAUCGGGAGCGUGGCGCGAGGGUGGCGGAGCGCGUGGCGGGGAUCGAUCCUAGCAGCGCCGCGCCGUAUUUGAUCCUCGCGAAUCUUUCCAGCGAGAGGAAGAAGAAGAGACUAGCAAGAACCCUAAAAAAUUUUGGGUAACGCAGCCUUUCUUUGUGGAAGAAAGAAUGGCUACUUUCUGCAAGGCCAUCAAGGCGAAGGAGAAUCUACACACUUGCGUAAGCGAUUUACAUCUCUCGCUACAGUUCUGGAUCGAUUGAUCUCUCGGAGUUGAUUGAUCAAACAGGUGGUUCCGGAAGGGUUUCUCGAUGGAGAUGGCGUGGUGCCCGCGAAUUUGACGCUCGCCAAUUCCAGCGGAUCGUCGUGGAGCGUGGCGAUCCGCGAGGACUCGGGCGAUUUCCUGCUGGACAAGGGAUGGAGAUCUUUUUGCCUGGACAACGAGCUAUCCUUGGACGAUGUUGUGCUGAUGAAGCGCAUCCAGCCGUCCAAUGUUCUGGUGACCAUCUACGGCGGAGAUGGAUGCGAGAGAAAGAAGUCCCAGUCCUGUGACAUUGCCAAGGCAAACAAUCCUUUUGGAAGCGAAGUUAACAGUGGCAAUAAUUGUAAGCAGGAAACCAGGGAUAGAAUCACUGCUGAUGACUAUCACGAGAUAAUUGAUAAUGGCAACAUCCUCAAGAGAAGCAUGGAUCAUCCAGAAGUUCCUCUCAAGAAGCGAGCAAAGACGACAGUGGGCAGCGAGAAAUCCACAGCCAAGAAGCUCAUCAAGGUGACCCUCAGCUGCUCCAGCCGCACCGUUUCCUCCGAAUCGGCAAUCGCAGCAGCCUCUAAAUUCGAGUGCUCCAAUCCGAGCGUUCUCUUGGCGACCACAAAGAGUACACUCGAUCCAACUUACUACCUGGUUAGCGUUGUUCUUCCGCCACGCCAUCUCUUGCUCUUAAGAAACUUUGUUGUGAUCUUGCAGAUUGUGCACAAGCAAUUCUCGGAGGCUUUCAUGCCCAAGGUCGAUACCGCUGUGAUGCUCGUGAAUUCCAGGGACGAGAGGUUCCCGGCGCGGUGGCUGGCUGCCAGGCACGUCGUGAGCGGUGGAUGGAGAGGCUUUGCAAGGGCUGAGAAGAUUAAAGUCGGGGAUGCGCUUGUUCUUGAGGUGGUGGACGAAUCCACUUUUAAGAUCCACGUUUUCGAGUAGAUCCACGAAAAAAUCAUUUGAUUCUCAUUAUUAUAAUACAAAGGAACAAAUAUACUAUUAUAUUUGGAAAAAAGUUGCGAUUUUCUUCUUUUUUUUUUGUUUUUCUUAAAGGCGACAACCAAUGUGAUGUUUCACAUGCCAAGUGAAGUCCGUGUCUCAUGUAAUGCGGGACACACAAAACUUUCAACUUGGACAAGCGAACAAGGGGAAGGCUGUUGCCUUGACACAACACUUUUGGAGUGAGAUCAUGGAAUGGAACUGUUAUUAUUAUAUGACCCCGGGUGUCACUCUAUCAAAGAUUAUAUAGUUCUUCGUGAUAGCGAUCUUUUCCAUAGUGCCAAAGGUCCUGGUGUUUUGGAAGUGGACGAUCCACACACAUUGGUUUCCAGCAUCGCCAAAAGAAACCGGCUCCAUUAAAACUCUCAACGUCACAAAGCGCAAUCUCUUGCACCAUAUAGUCUCGUAUAUUGAUUUUUUUCGAAAGAUUGGGCCUCUCCCAUCAUAUAUAAAGAGAAGAAAAAGAGAUUUAUCUGGUUAUGUCGUCCUGUGUAUGAUCGAGUUGUGUUAUUUAGCUAGAAAGUAUGAGAUGAGCCUCGUAAGAAGAAAAAAGAAAAACUUUCUGGUGUAUUUGUUGCUGUAAAGUUCUCUCAUCGGUCAAGUUGUGUUGGUGCUUUCGAUUGAUUGAUUGAUUGAAAGGACUCAAACCCCGUUGUUGCUGUGAUCUUUCUUGUUUUGCUGUGUUGUGGUGUUGGUAAAUUUUCUUCUUUUCGCUGUUUUGUUGCUGUUCUUCCUACCAUAUGUGUUGCGGGAUUCUGUGACUUAGUGCUGUGGGGGAGAGCCAGGACUGUAAAUCCCUGUUUUGUAAGAUUUUGUAUACUUGGCUGCCUAUGUGUUGUCGGCAGAUUGGACAUUCAUCCUUUGAUCCUUUGAUAACCUGGAGAAAAUGAAGAGAACGAUGAGCAAAGCUUAAAGUCGAGAGAGAAAAGAGAGAUUUUUACCUUCAGGAUACACUGCACGCAAAAGGUAUGGCUGCAGUCCAGUUUGGAUGGCUCUACGCAGUGCUCUGGACGAAGAACAGGAAGAAACGAAGUAAGCUUGGAUUUUUACAACAAUUCGUGAGAGUGGGACUUACUGAGACAAAUGCAGCAAAUGAUGUCGUUGGGCGGCGGUGCGAGGUUGAAAACUUCGUUGAGAUCCAGCCCCAUCAUCUUCUCUUCGAUUGACAGAGAUGGAGGUUGAUCGUGGUGUUCUUCCGGUAUGUGCGAGUUGGAAGAGUUCUCGCUGUGAUGUGGGCUGGCGAAUGGACUCUCGGGUAGGUUGUGUCCAUUCCCAUCGGCGCUGCUAGAAGUUUCCAAAGUGAGUAAUCAAGUUCUAUCAUAUGACUGUGACUUACGUCACAAGAUCUUCGUCGUAUUUGAGCGUAGCAUCAUCGGGAAGUGGAUGAAGAGCUUCACUCUCAUCGCCACCUUCACCCUCCAGCACGUCCAUGACGAAUCCGAAGGGAUUGCUCGACUGGAACUGCUGCAUAUCUGCUCGAUCAUUUCGAAAACUUAGCGCCAGAGAAGAUCCAAACAAAAAAAAUCCAACCUUCUAGUGUUAGCACGGCUUCGUUCAUCCCAUUCCCAUGGCUGCUGCUACUGCUACUGCCACUGUUGUUGUGCUCCAUGAUUCGUGGAGUUCCAGGAACCUCGGGGGAGUCCAAGCUAACGUGAACUCCAUUGAGGUUGGUCGUGGAAGCAGUGCUGUUUAGCUUCCUCUCUUGCUCGUCGAGCAGUAGUAACUUUGCGGUUGUCACAGCCUCCGCAGCCUCUACCUCGGCAGCACGGGCUCGGAGCGAAUGGAAAUCCAUGACUCGUCUUCGUUCUAACUCCAGGUAUCGCUCCUCCUCGAAUCGCCUCGCAAGAACAUCGUAGAAGCUCGGAUCUGGAGCACACAGCCUUUGGUAAACUCGAUCGAUCUCAAAGAACAUGUAUUACCUUGCAUGAAGUCUUUGCCACCCAAGCCGCGAAGCUGCAAGCGUAGCGGAUCGAUCUUCUCGGCUUGCUUUCUGGUAGAAAUUUUGCUACGUCAGAACGAGGAACGUAGAAAAAGAGAGAGAGAGAGCUCUCUUACCUUUCACCGAGCUUAGCUUUCUCGCGAUAUGGCUUGACGAGAACACGAGCACCGCAGAUAUAGUGAGGAUUCCCUUCGGACAGUAUCGCCUUGACAGUCUCGGGAUAGAUGAAGGUGACGAAUCCAAACAUUCGCUUCUGCUGGUAUGGAAUUCGAACAUCCUGGACUGGACCAUAAGAUCUACACAAAAACUUCGUUUUGAGAGCAAGAAAAGAAAGAAAAAAACUAGAAUUGAUCUACCUGAAGUGUGCUGAAACAUCGUCCUCCGUGAAGGUGCUCUCCGCCGGGAAAGUGAGAUAGAUUUGCCUAGAGCUGGGAUUCACGUCCUUGAGAUCGUCGCGAUCGGCUCUAUACCCCACGAAUCUCUGCGCAUCUUCCGCAAGAACUACUGCAUGCUGGCCGUGGGGUCUUCGCAGGAAAAGAAAAAAGAAACCAACCAUUUACUUAGUUACCACCAAAAGAAUCCCAGGAACAAUGGAGAAAUCCCAGCAACCAACGAGAAAACAAUGGGAAGAGAAGAGAACCAAACCAGCAGACAAGAUCAAAGAUCGAAGAACAAUGCAAGGGUGGAUCCAGAUCGAGCAGAAAAAAAUGGAUUUUUGACGUGUUUACCUGUCGAUGAGAGCUACGCUCCCUUUGAGCCGCGCGAGGAGCUUGGUGAGGCUACAUCCAGCUUUGCCAUGGCGCUGGCUCUCGGUGAGAUAGCCCUGUGCUUGCAGCGCCCUCCCAAACUUCUCGAAGUAGAGCUGGGGCAGCGACGCGAUCGACACUGGCGUCCUCCGCCCUCGCAGCAGCUCCUGGAGCUCCAUCUCCAGUCGCUCGAGAGAUCCCGACGAUGGACUGCUGGGCGAGGAGGAAUUCGGCGAGCAUCCCAGCAAAUCGUCAAAAGAUGGAGCUGGCGAAGAACACUGGCUACAGCCGCCGGGAGAGGGGAUGGAUCCGUUGCUGCCAUUGCCGGGGACGGUCGCGCUAGAUCCGGUGCCAUGGAGAAACCGGCAGCUAGUCCCGCGCUUGCAGUGGCCUUUGGAGUAGUAGAGGCAGGGCUUGCAAGUGAGCGCCAUCGCCAGAUCGUGCGAGGAGGGAUAGUGCGAGGCUGGAAACUGGAGCUGCUGCAAAUGCCUCCUCUGGGCAUCUGCUGCUGGCGAGGAAGAGGUGGAGAAUCGCGACGUGUUCUUGAGGAGGGGAUCUUGGUGGAGCUGGAACUGGUGGUUGUGAUUCAGGAGCCAUUGGUCGGUGGCGAAUUCGUCGGGGCUGGGGCUGGGCUGGAAGAGAUUGCUGGGAGACGAGGAUACUGUGCCUCCCUCUGGGAUGAAGAGGAGACUUGGGCGAUUGAUUCUCUGCUGGUGGUGGUGUUGUCGGUGGUGAUGGUGUUGAUCUGAGAGGCCGGGAUGGGGAUUCGCGGCGAAUAGCCCAAGCUCUCUUCUUGCUUUCGCUAUGGCGGAUUGGAGGAGAGCGUCGGAGCCCAGAGCCAGCCUCGCCAUUUCUUGCUCGCUCCUGUCCUGGAGUAGCAUCAAGCCGAUGAUCUUGGAGACGUUCUCUGGAUCCUGGGCUUGGACACGCGCGAAGACGAGCUGGGUGGCUUCGUAGGCGUCCAUAGCUCGAGAGCUUCCCCUUUGCUUGCGAGCGAUCUAGAGAUAGAGAGGAGGAAUUGCGAUUGCGAGAGGAGGCAUUGCUUUGCGAGGCAAGAUUAGUGGCCCAGGAGCUUGAAACAGAGAUGGAUCGGGAAGAUUCGCGCGACCCAAGUCGAGAUUCGCUCCACUCUCAAGUGGGUUCUGCGCGAUUCUUCGUCCGCCGGCGACCACGAUCCCAUUCCAUUGCCCUCUCUUCUAGAAUCUCCCCACUACUCUGGUGGAUCGAUUUGCUCGGCCGGAGAAGUAGGGGAUUCGGCGGCUCGCGCGGCCGGGGGCGAUGAUGGAGCGGCGAUGGACGUCAUUGGCAAUCAAUCCAGCGCGCGCGCGAGCGAAAGAAUCUAGCGAGGCUGGUCGAUAGGGCGCCGCAGCCGAUCAAUGAGGAGAGAAGAGAGAAGAGAGAAGAAGAGAGAGAGAGAGAACUAAACUAUUAGGAGGAACAAAAUGCCCAGAAAGGGCAAAUUGCAAGGGCCUAAGGGGCUCCAAUCAUUUGGUGUUAUUAAAUUAGGGCAAGACGCGCACUGGUACGUCACGGUACAUGCCCCACCAACUUUUGUAUGGAAAUGUGUGUAGGCAUCUUCAGUUCCUAGCGUAGAUUUCUAGGGUUUCUACCCGGAGGGCGAAUUUUGUUUGCUGUUGGCUGGAUCUUUUUGUUCAAAGUAAAGUGAAAUGAGUGAGUGGCAUGGUUUGGUGAUCCGGAGGAUCUACGGCGCGUACGUGUGGCUUACGCUAAAGCACGCAUUUAAUCACGAGUCUAACCACCGCCACCUUUUCUUAUCCUCGCACUGACUUGAAACAAAAACUUCAGUUGAAGAUUUGGUAGGCUCUUGGCCGCACGCAUUUAAUAGUAUGGUGUUUGUAACAUCAACAGCGGCAGCAGAGUUCUCGCUUCCUCUCCAGAAAAUACAAAAAAAAAAUUAUAGAAAAAACGAAAAGAAAAGAAAUUAAAAAAUAUCUAAAGGCAAAAAAAGACGGAGGAAUGCCAUGUUUCCUAUCAUACUUUGGGCGGGUGUUGUACUAUAGACAAAAGCAGUCAAUAAAUUCCUGGCAUUCAAUUGUUUGCAUGACUGUGUUGUAUGAUUCCAUGGGAGCUAAGGUAUAAUAUUACACCCUAAAAGAAAGAAAGCCACUCUCUUUCCUCUCUCCUCUCUCCUCUGUGGUGUUUGCUUGUCUUUGUGGGUCCUCAAAAGAGGCAGGCCUGACUCGUGAGUGUGUGGGGCUGGCAUAAAUGACCGCGCAUGGAGUGAGAAUCUCAGCAGAAAGCGACCCAUCAACGCUCGCUCCCCAGAAACCCUAAUUCCCCGCAUUGUCGCCCAGUUGUUUAGGGUUCUUGGGCGUGAGAGAGACUGGGUCAAGAUUGAGUGUGAGGCAGGCAAGGAAAAGAAGAAAACAAUCACCAUUGCUAGAAGCCCUAAACAACAGACAGUUGGCAACCAACGGCCAGGAUUUGUUUAAACGAUAGCAUUCAACGGCCAGGAUUUGCGCAAACGAAUUCUUUCUUUCCAUUGUGUGUAUCUACAGCUUGAGUUGCAAACGUACUUAUUUACAGCGAGUUUUCUUCUUCAGUGUUCUUCGUGCUCCGAUCGAUUCAUCGCAAGGGUGGAUGAUUUCAUUUCACCGCAGUCGGACGAUCACCAGAUUGGGGAGCGACGACGCUUGCAGCUUCUGGAUCGCCCACAGCGUCACCUUGCACGACUGGAGCGCCAGCGACGUGAGAUUCUUGAGCGGCAGCAAGUGCUGCAGCCCCGCAUUCGUCACGGACGAGUUCCCGACGUUGAGCGACACGAGCUUCGUCAAGCCUGCAAGGAAACAUAAACAAGGAGCAAUCUAGCAAUCUAGGAACCGAGAGCUACGCACCCGAGAGAGCCUCCAAGGCUUGGUCAGUCAGCUGACCAUUCUGCGAGAGGUUCAAGUACGUAAGAUCUGUCAGAUCUUUUAAGCUCUUGACACCUACGUCUGUUAUUCCACCACCACAGACCUCCAGGGACUGUAGCUUCUUGAAAUCUGCGCACCAGAGAGAAAGCAAAAAAACCAAAAACUUUAAGGACCUGUCGAGAUCUGGGCACAAGGGGACGACACACGGCAGCGAAGACAAAGCUCGAAAGAAAAAAGAAAGAGAUCGAAAAGAUUAUAUUACGUACGUCGAAGGCUGCCGAUGCCAUAGUCCGUGAUGCGAGCGCUAAACAGAUCCAGGUGCGUAAGAUUAGUUAAGCCUGCGAAAGAAAAAGCUGUGAGUUUUCUUCUUCUUCGCUCGGCAGACAGUGAGCGAACGAAAAGGAAGAAAUCAAUGUGGAGAAAAGAGGAAGAGUUAUUACUUGUGAGGGCCAUGAGGCCGGUGUCAGUAAUCUGUCGUGAGUCAAUGUUCAAAGACUUGAGCGAUGUUAAGCCUGAGAUCUUGUGCAGGCCCAUGUCCGUCACCAUUGUGGACGAGAUAUUUAGACUCUCGAGCUUCGAGAGGCCUGGGAAACACAAGAAAAAGAGAUUUUUUCGCUGUGAGAAUGUGACAAAGGAGAGGAAACAAGUUUACCCGUGAGGAAGUUGAGAGCAUGGUUCCCAAUCAGCGAGUCGGAAAGAUCCAAGCUCUUGAGAUUUACAAGGUCUGCAGUCACACAGCACAGAACCACAGGCACACAGGCAGUUUUGUAUUCAAUCCAGCAAGAUGUUAUUCGAGAAACAAAUUGCAUACUUUUAAAGUUCUGUACUCCUUGAUCUCCGAUCUUGCACGAGUCAAGGUUUAGGAACUGGAGACUCUUGAGGUCUGCAAGCACCAAGGAAAAAAGAAAAGAAAGAAUGAGACGUCCGAAACACAAGAAAGAGACAAUCUUUUUUUCAUACUUUUGAGGUACACCAUUCCAGCGUCGCUCACAUUUGUGUAGCUCAGAUUCAAGUUCUUGAGGUUUCCGAGGCCUGAUAUAUGAAAAACAAGAAAGAACGUGAUCGGCAGAAGUGUGUAGUAUCUCUACCUUCGAGUUUUCGGCAGCCGAAAUCUGAGAUGUAGCAGGACUUGAGAUUGAGAGUUGUCAAGGAAGUCAAACCUGAAAGGAUGAAAAAAUCCACAGCAGAUGGGAAGACUUGAAGGUUUUUAACCAUUAAAUUACGUACCAGCAAUCGUGUCCAUGCAGGCAAAAGUCACUGGGCAGCCUUCCAUGUUUAGUACUUCGAGUUUCUUCAAAUCUGCAGCGAAAGAAAGCGGUCGAUCACAGAACUCCAAAAAGAAAAGCAAAAGAUCAAAUACCUUUCAAGAAGGUGAUUCCAAAGUCCUUGACUUUGCUUCGGGAGAUUUGGAGUUCCAGCAAGUUGGUUAAACCUGCGAGGAGUAAAAGUCUCUCCCAGUUUACUCCUGAAAAAAGAAAAACAAAGCAAACCAGAAAGCUGCUUCAUGUCGGAGCUCCGGAUGCAGUUGCACCAUCCGAGAUUUAGUUUCUCCAGCUUUGUGAGUCCUGUUCAUAAAUACCAAAGACCAAAAGAAGAGAAGUUCGCAGCUAGCUAACAACGAGAGAUGGGUAAAAAGAACUACCUUUGAUAUAAACAAGGCCGUCGUGAAUCUUUGGACAUCGCUCCAAAUCCAAGUGCUUGAGGUUUGGGAGACCAGCCAAGUGUCUCAUCCCAGCCGGAGUUAUAAGUUUGUUCUUUUGGAAGCUCAACGACGUAAGAUUCGUGAAGCCUACGCAAUGACAAAGCAAAUGAAACGAGACUAGAAGCAAGUGACGAGUAGAGACUUACCUGUGAAGUAGCUCAGAGAAAUGUCUGAUAUGUAUUUACAUUCGUUCAUGCAGAUGAUCUCUACGUUUUCACAGAUUUGAAGGCACUGCACGCCUUCGUCCGUAACCAUAGAACCAGAAAAAUCCACCGCUAGCAAGCAAAACUUCUGCGAGCCUAUGACUUCCAUCCAGCUAUCAUCAACACCCGGAUAGUAGCCGAGAUAAAUGUCCUGGAAUCCACAAAGUUUUCAUUCAUGGAGAUAGUUCUAAAGUAUGGCUUUGAUCGUACCUGGAUGGCACAGUCCUCGAAAGCUUGAAAGAGCUCUCGAGAAAGAGCUUGAGUCUGGACGAGCUCGUUGAGGAUCUUCUGCGUUAAAUCCCUCGGCAGCUUCUCAAACGAUUUGAUACCUUGUGUGUUCUUGAGUUGACAAGGAAAGAGAAAACUCUCAAGAACAAUGGAAGAACCAUAGAAAACUUUGCAAAAACUUACCUUACAAGUCUCUCGCACUGCAAGCUCCAGGAGCGAUGGAGCCUUGUUUGCAUUGUCUUGCUCGUCGCUAAUAUCCCUCUCAAAGUUCCUGGAAGGCCAGCGAAAGUAGAAGCUGCGACUAAAUCUCGCGGAGCCACCAUAGCCAUCGUCAAGGUCUCCUUCCCUUUGGUCUCUCUUUCUCGAGCAAGCACCUCCCAUUUUUUUCUCCUUGUUUGUUGGCUUUCUCUGGAUUCCUCCUCCUAGUUUCUAGGCCGAUCGCUCAACCUGGCAUGGAUCGCAUAAACAAAUCAUGCACGAGAACAGAUGAUACUAGCUGGGAAAACUAGUCCAAUCCACAAAUUGGGGAAGAAACAAAGCGCGAGUGGAAUCGAGAGCCCAACUCACCCGAUGCUCUUGGCCGAUCGCCUCGACUCCUGCCAAUUGCCGCGAAAAUUCUCACCUCCGCCGCCGCCCAAGACAGAGAAUCCGCGAUGGCCAUGGCAGAAACACCGAGAAGCUUUUAUUUCCCCUCUUUCCUCGCCCCGCCGCUAUCGUAUCGUGGAGCAGCGGAUGCAAGCUUCCUCCUCCAUAGCCAUUCACUUUCACUUAGGGAAGACGAAUACCCAUCUCUCGAGAAAUCCGUGCCGUCCGUUGCGAAACCGCGACGGCCCAGAUGUGGUUCGCAAACUGCGCAUCUGACGGCCAGGCGCGCACCAUUUUGCAAAAUCAUGGCCGGCCGUUUGGGAUUUGGAUGGCUGAUAGAGCGCCACGCGAGACGAAUGGGGUUGCGUAGGCGUCCAAAACUGGGGGCCGGAGAAUCCUUGCCGUCCAAAUCUCUAUACUGUUUAGAUGACGGGGUUUUAGGUCAAUUUGGCCCCCGGGAUGGGCGAGCGCAAGAGGAAGCGCGCGAAGGAUCCGAUCGAGGAGAAGGGCGAUGGAACUGUGGAGGAUUGCGAUCGCACAGGUGAGCUGACGGGGAAGAAUGCUGGUGUGAAUCGCCAGAGUGACGAGGACGCAGGGGUAGAGAUCGCAGAGGGUAAAGAGAAGAGGAGCAGGAGAAAAUCCAAGCAUCCAGCUCCAGAAGAAUCCAAAAACGAGGAUUUUGAGGGUGAAAAGGAACGGGAGGAAGAGGAAGAGGAAGCCGGCCACGAGAAAAAGAAGCGAAAGCGAAAGCACGAAGACAAGGAUUUAGUGGAAGAGAAGAUUUCGGACGGGAAAAAGAAGCUAGAUGGUCACGAGAAGACGCGAAAGAAGAAUGCCGGAGGUGGUGAUCGAGAAGGUGGAGCCGCUCAAAUUUCUUCGAAGAGCACAAAGCACAAGGAAGAUGCUGGAGUUGACGUUGAAAAGAUUGCAAAGGAGGAUAAGAAGAAGAAGAAAAAAAAGAAGAAUGUGCCAGGAAUAAAUGUGGAGGAACAAGAGAAUCAGCCCACUGUUUGUGACGAGAGCGAGAUCCGAGAGGACAGUACUAAAGUUCCUCUCGAAUCGGAGAAGAAUAAGAAGUUAGAGAAGAAGAAGCGAGAGAAGAGGAUAGCAAGUGAUGAUACGGCCGAUCGGAAAGUAAGCAGUGACGAUCAACAGAGGAGGAAAGAAUCUAGGCAGGAGAAUGCUACUGCCAACGUUGAUCCAGUUCCUUCCAAGAGGAAGAGGAAGAAAGACAAACACGCAGCCGCGCUUGACGAUGCCGAGAGUCCUGAAGCUGGCGAUGAUCAAGAACACCAAGAACCGGAGAGGAAGAAGAAGAAAAAGAAAUUUCAUGCAGUGGACGUGGCUGAGGAGCAAGAGAAUAACUCCGCUGCUUGUUACGAGAAAAAGAAGCGGAAGAAGAAACUAGAGGUGGCAGAAAGUCAGGAUGAUAACAAGCUCAAGCAGCGUGAAGACGAGCGUGGCAGUAGUGACAAACAGCGUAAAGAGAAAACUAAGAAGGCUGAGAGACCAGUUUCCGUCGAGACAGGCGGCGAUCUCCAUACUUGUACGAAGAACUUGGGAAACCAUGCUGAGUCUACGAUUCGAAACGAGAAGAUAAAGAAGAAGGUCUCUUUCGGUGCUGCGGUGGUUUUAAACGAGGCCGCUACAGAGAAGAAAGUCCAUUUCGGUGGAGUGGAGUUACAACCGACAGUCCCGAACGAGAGGCCUCUGUGCGAGCGGAGAUUGAAAGAUCCCCUAUACAAUAAGAAGUUUACCGAGGAAGAGGACGAGGCGAUAAGACAAGCAGUUCGUCAGUUUGCAGAGGUACGCACUUUAGCCUUCACUCGUAAAGCUGACUCUUUCCUUUUGCUUUUUUUCUUGCGCAGACCAAGGGGUUGGACCUGCAUGAAACAUACAAACUUUAUCUGGACCGAGAAACUCCAGAGCAGCGUCGACUUGGGCGAGAGCUUUCGAAAGCGCUUGGUAAUAGACACUGUAUUGUUGUGGCUCACAUCCUAAUAUUCUCUACUUUGUGGCAGUGGCUUGCCUUCCGGAGAGAAACCCAAUCUCUGUAAAAUAUCGAGCAGAAUCUGUCUUGGACAUUUUCGGCCAGAAAGGGAUAUGGCCACCAGAGGAAGUGGAACGGCUCCAAAGGUAUGCGCUGUGGUGUAUAUAUUUUUAUAAGAAGUUUUUGCUUUGGUGUGGCAGCCUUGUUCUGACGCAUGGCAAAAGGUGGACGCUGAUAUCGAAGCUUCUUGGGAGGAAUAAGCGCAAUGUUGCAACAAAGUAUUACUAUGUCAAUGCUUUGCAGAAGAGAGGUAACGAUCUUUCUUGGUUAAGAUAGCAAGCAAGCCGGGUGUUUUUUUUUACAGGCAAGUAUUCAAGCGAGGAAAUCGCCAAGGUGACUUCGACAGUCCACAACGUUUUGGCCGAGUAUGCGCGGCUAAAUGUUCCAAGGCAUAGAGAGGAAGACAUCCCUUGGCGUUCGAUUGCCGCAAAGCUACCCGGUCGUCCAGAGAGUCACUACCGAGUUCUCUGGUAAAGAAGAGCUAUGAAAGCCUCUUUUUCUUCUUGCUAACUUUGCGAUUGUCUUCCAUAGGUACCGGGAUUUGUGUUCUCCUAUGGUUAAAACCAAGGAGUGGGGAACUGGCGACGACCAUCUUCUUCUACGGAGGUACUUGGCAGAGUUUUCUUUUUUCCCUGGUAGUUUUUAACUCGUGGUGUCGGUCGUUUACGCAGAAUGCUCGAGUCCGGUGCGCCAGAUGAAGAGUCCAUCGACUGGGAUAAUCUAUUGUCCGGAAGGCAUGGCUUUCUUUCUUUUCUACCAUAUAUUUUAUAGUCUUUGUCCAAUGCAGGUCAGGAGAGAUAUGUCUCAAGCGAUGGCACGAAAUGCGUGUACACUUGGGACAUAAGUGGAACUGGCCUUUCGAGAAGAAGCUGGAACUUUUGAUUGAGCGAUUUGCUCCAUGCUUUCUGGAAGAACCAGCAGCUGCUUGCCCAAUUGUGUCGGGCCCGGAAGAACAAUCUCUACAAGAACAACAUGUAAGCUAAAGUUCGUUUGAUUUAUUUCGCAAAAGUUAUAUGAUGGUGUUUUGCUUUUAUAGUGACACUUCGAAAAUUCUAUACAAAAUCGUCGUGAUAUCGAGGAGUAUGGCGUUACAGAAGGAAGGACUCAAUCGAUUGAUUAUAUCAUAUUGGUAUCGUCGAGCAAGUGUAAAUCAUCCGGCAUGCUGUCCAGAGUCAUCUCAAUGUCGUCGAGGUUAGCAGUUGAAUUUACAAAGUCGGGGAUAUCGGUGAGAUCGAGCUCCGGUAUCGUGGUCUCGCUGGUGCUGGCUGCUCGUGCUGCUUCAUCCUCUGCAUGGAACAAAGAUUUACACAGCUUUGGAAGAAAGAUAACGUACCGCCAAGAGCUACAGCCGCAGUUGGAUGGUCUUCUCGCCGUUGCGAUUGCGAAGGCGAUGACGACAUGGUUUCGAGGAUCUCCUCUGUGACAAGCUUGAGGUAAUCUUUCUCCUCGGGGCCAAUUCGUUGGUGGCACUUCCCUUCAAUCAAGCACGCAAUGUUGGCGAUGUAAUCUUCCUGGAGAAAGGAAACACGAAAUAGAGUUCUUAGAAAGAAAAAAAUUCCAGUCUCUCAAGAACAAAGAAAAGGAACUCUCCUUUCUUUCUCAGCUAAAUCAUCCACGCUUACCAGUGUGUCGGAGCUUGCGAAUGUCACCCUCUCCAUAGCCUGGCAAAACUUCUUGAGCGAUUCCUGGUCCACUGGCUCAGGAUCCCGAUCCUUCAUCGCGCAAUACCUGCAACAGCAAGAUCUCGAUCAAAACCAUCGCUCCCGGCACAGCGCAAUCGAUCUCACAGCAGAUAGGAGACGUUAAGUUGGGAUUCUUCCGGCCAGUCCUUCUUCCACAGGCAUCGAUUGUCGUCCAUGGCCUGGCAUUGCGCGGCGCGUCGGAUCUAGAGAACACAAGAGCGGAGAAUCGCUGACCUGAUCGCUGCGACAUCUAGGGCUCGCAAUAUCGUCCCGCGCCUUCGUCCCUCUCUCGCGAGGUUUAAACGUUUAUAGCCACACUGGCCACUAAAUUAGCCCCAAUCUAUUAUUUAUAGAAACCUUGCCCUAAAACCAUUGCUUAAACUAAACCUCCCUCCUUUAAUUAAUCUCUAGCUAUUUAAUCAUAUAGACUUUCGCGGGAGAAAAUUGGCCACGCUCCUCUCGUCUCGUCCUCGCGAUCACCAUUGUCUCGGAUCAUCUCGUCCUCGUCUCUCUCGAUCGAUGAUAGAUCGAUCAUCUCACUCGCCCUGCUGGUAGCAAAGCUCUCUCCUCAGCUUCCUCGAGAAUGGCUGGCACGCAUCCAUGCUCAAGUCCGCCGCCGCCGCGAGAGCCAUGAACACCGCCGCGUCCUCCACGCAAGUUACGUGCCUCACAGCCAUCUGGAUGCAGCGGCCCUUGUUCGUCUUGUUCCUCUCGCCGUGGACGGGGCAGCUCAUCACGAAUCCACCCGCGACUUGGAAGCCCAGCCCCAGGAAGCCAUCCCCGCUGCUGUGAGGACUCUCCGUUGAAGACGACGAGGAUGCCGCUUCCACCCGCAGCCUGACCGUGUCGAUCGAGAACUCUCCGCCACUCUGGGUGCUGAUCACCGUCUCGGACACCAGGAUCCCACUCCCGACGCUGGUGAUGCCACCACCUUCAGCAACCAGCUGGAAUCUCAACCCGAGACCACCCUUGCCACCUUUCUCCCUCCAGGCCUCCAGCCUCCCCCACGGCUCCCAGCUAUCGACUCCGGUGGAGUCCGGGCGGAGGAUGAGCCACGCACCUGGGUUUGAUCGGCUCACGUAGUCGGACCCCGACGACGGCACGAAAGGUGUGACGAUCGAAGCCGCAGCCACGGGAGAGCCCGAGAGGUCGUGGAUCAUCACAAGCCACCCCUUUCGUUCCUUGCGUUCUCUUUCUCUAUCUCCUGUUAGCGGUGUGGACCAGCUCUUCGCUGGAGUAUCUGUGAAUCCUAGCCUGCAAAAAGUGAAAGAAGAAAUGCCAGUGAGAAAGCCAUCGCCAAGCUACAAACUCGAAGAGAGCUUCUCACCUAGCGCGGCAACUACGAUCCCUGCUGAACUUGCAACUAAAGAUGGGCUGCCUCAAGCUUCCCUGGAUUUGUAUAAUCUGUGGGCCGGAAGCAGUGUCCCCGUCAAACUGGAAAACGAAGCGAGGAUCUGCCUCUAUCCUGGCAUUGAGAUGAAACUCCGCUCCAGGACUUCCACCUUUCUUUCCUAUGCUCGCCCACGAAUCGUAAAGCUGGAGUGGAUUCCCCGAAAGCCACUCCGAGUCGACUGCAAUGCUAAACUUCCCCAAGAAACUCCCUUCUCUCACACCACAGCACGAGCCCUGCCUUCCAGUGAAGACCACCACUUUCAAGCAAGGAGCCGCCUUCCUCGAGCCCAAGCAGCACUGGACUGCCAGUAGCUUCCUCAAGCUGGAGUGAUCCAAGUAGAACACCGCCGCCACAUUCCUGGAAUCCGGCUCUGGCGCUGUUGCGGUGAUGAGCGGCACUGGCGCCGUCUGGACAGGAAAUCCCGGCAAGCUGAUCUCGCAGUAGCAGGGAAUGGAGGAGGCAUGUACGCCGACGCGAGCUGCUUUGGAGGCGAUCGGGAUUCGCAGCCCUAGGGCCGCGAUCGAGACCUUGACGAAUGCCUGGGGAUCCAUCAUAAUCCCAUGCUGCUACCUAGAGCUUCUUCUUCCAGCGCUGCUCAUACCUCGCGGUCAGCAAACCCUACUCCCGCCGAUUCUCCCCCUCGUUCGCGGCAUGGGAUGAAUGCAGCUCUAGCCAGCGCCUCCGCCGCGAUCCUCCUCCAGCAAUCGAAGCAAAGACCCCGGGCGAUGGCGACGAUCGAGCGCGAGAAACGAGGAAUCCACGCGCCCAGCUCUCACGCACAGAACAAAGCUCUUCCCUUGUUCUUCCUGUCUGGCUCAAGCAAAUUGGAAGCCAAUGGCUCGCGUCCGUAAGGCGGAGUUAAUCCAUGGUGCCACGUCCAAUGCCCAUGCCAUGCCAAAAACAAAGCGCUAUGCCCUAAAACCCCCUUAAACCCUAAGCCUUUGCAUGGCCAUGCAUGGCAUACAUGACAGCUGUAUCCAGCAAAUGCUAAUCGUACACAAUUCCGUACUGAAAGGAUCUUCGCGCAUAUUCACGCUUUAGCAUAUUCUCAAGAUAUUCUCGGGGCUCUAGGGUUUUAGCAGAGCAGGGGAAUGGAGGGGAAGCGCAAGCUCAGCGUGGCGAUCUGCCAUCCCGAUCUAGGAAUCGGUGAGAAAUUCCAGCGAUUUGCGAGCGGCUCGCCCGAAUUGCGUGAAUUCGCGUGUGCUUUCAGGGGGAGCAGAGCGGCUGAUCGUCGACGCGGCGCUGGAGCUCAAGAACAACGGUCACGACGUCCGCGUUUUCACGGCGCAUCACGAUCCCCGGCGCUGUUUCGAGGAGACUGUGAAUGGUAAGGACGAAAGCUUCGCUUUUUUCUCCAAGGUCGCUCCACGAAUUUCUUUUCUUUUCUUUCAAGGGAGCUUUCCAGUGACAGUCUAUGGAGAUUUUCUGCCAAGGAACGUCUGGAACAAGCUCCACGCGAUCUGUGCGUACAUUCGCUGCGUCUUUGUUGCGGUGUGCAUGGUUUUGUUCUGGCCAAAGUUUGACGUCGUCCUCGUCGAUCAAGUCUCGGCAGUGAUUCCUAUACUCAAGAUCAAGAGAUCAAAGGUAAAUUCUGUGCUAGAAAAUCCUUUGCGCUGACCUCUAUCCAGUUUCUCAACAGAUAGUCUUUUACUGCCACUUUCCCGAUUUGCUGCUGGCUCCACACACGACGACAAUCAAGAGAUUGUACAGGAAGCCCAUUGAUUGGCUCGAAGAAACAACAACUGGUAUAAAGUCGUGUCUUCUUCGCUCUGAGCUUGUGGCUUUUGGAAAACACGUAUCCAUACAGGAAUGGCCGAUCGGAUCCUAGUGAACAGUAAUUUCACUGCGUCAACCUUCGCACGGACAUUUCGAAAGCUCCACGCUCGAGGCUUGCGGCCGUCAGUUCUAUACCCGGCGGUCGAUGUCGAACAGUUUGCUUCGCUGCCAGAGAAAGCAAACGUGGAUGGACUUCCCGCUGAAACGUAAGACUUUUGUUUUCUAGAUUCUAGAAAUAACUUGGUCUUGCUGCAGGCCUUUUUUCCUUUCCAUCAACCGGUUCGAGAGAAAGAAGAAUGUGUCUUUGGCAGUCUCUGCUUUUGACAUUGUGUUGAGCCAGAUCGAGAACACUCAGGUGAAGCUUGUCUUGGCUGGUAUAGCGAAACUGCACAUCCUUCUCUUUUACUUAACAGUGUCGUUUUAUCCAGGAGGAUUUGAUAGACGCGUCACAGAGAAUUGUGAAGUUCUGGACGACUUGCAAGAUCUCGCUCGCAAACUCGGGAUAAGCGAGCACGUCCUCUUUCUUCCCUCGUGCUCCACUCAAACAAGGGACGAACUCCUGGGAUCUUGCGUGUGUGUCAUCUACACACCGUCGGUAAGCCGAGCUUUUGCUUUCUCUUGGAGUUUUUUAUCAGCUUUUCUCUGUGUCUGUGAAGGAUGAACACUUCGGCAUUGUCCCGUUGGAGGCCAUGGCCGCAGGAAAACCAGUGAUAGCAUGUCGCAGCGGCGGACCAAUGGAGAGCGUGCUGCACGCCAAGACUGGCUUCCUGUGCGACCCAAAGCCUGCGGCGUUCGCGUCGGCUAUGCUCGAGUUUGUCAAGGAUCCAAACCUCGCCAAGUCCAUGGGAAGCUCUGCGCGGUCGCACGUCCGGGACAGAUUCUCCAGGCAAACAUUUGGCAGUAGGCUUGUCCAAGAGCUCUGGUGUGCUUUGUCGCGAUAGCUUUCGUCGAAGAGCAAAGCAAAUGUUAGCGAGAUUUUUUCUCAAAGCAAAUGUUUGAUCUUUGGCAAAGUGGAAAGCUUGCUCCUGCAAGAGAAAAUGUGAGCCCGAUUCGACUCCAAACAGCUUGCUCCCAGACAGAAGCUUGGGAAACGGAAACAAAAAUCGAUUUCUUUACAAGAAGAGCUCCACCCAGGAGGAAUCAAAACAUGAGGAGCCUGGAAGAUCGGAGUGAGAAAGGAAAACCCUAAAGCUCUGUGUCAACGUUGCUUCCAUCACUGGAAGAGAAAGAGCUUGAGGAAGAGGGAGGAGGGGAGGAAGAAGAGCUCAUUUCUUCCCCAGCCCAUAGCCCAGCGCGAUGGCAACAGCUCCAAGACCAAGGGCAAUUCCAACGCCGAUGCAUGCCAGCCCAUCUCCGACAGAACCGCCCAGUGACUUCCCUCCAGCAGACAGAGCUUCUUUCACUUGGAGAUUCUUCGCAGCGCCCUUGGGAUCAAGCGCUCCGCCCAAUUUGAACAUGCCGUAGCCCGC
rnacentral:lncRNA from 1 species